CGGGAUGCGAUAAAGAGAACAGUAUAGCCAAGAGUAUAUAAGCAUUUCUAUUGCUGUAAUGGUGAUUCAGAGACUGGAAAUGUGUAUAUCACUGCUGAAAAUGGCAGUAGAGUUUGUGCUUGUUUUCGCGGAGGCAGUCGGGCUAGUCAUCAACCACAAUGCCACGCCGCUUUUGGCAAACUCAGCCUCAGUUGGCAAUGAUGUUUCUGUCCCUUUUAUCGGUUUUCUUCUUUGAAUUCUUCGUCUUGUAGUUUCCUUCCUUAGCAGAAUGCCCAUUGGCCAUUGUAUACGUUGAGGUUUCAUUUUUGUCUUGAUAGAUUUUGCCUUGGAAAGUGUCUGUACUACCAGCUAAAAGAUGUGAAUGUUUGAUAGGAGAGAGUACAUAUAACAUCUUUGUAAACUUCGAUUAAUUUUGGUUCUGGGUGAGCUUCAUCUUCUGCAAAUUCAUUUGCUGGUAGCUUUGGAAAUGAAUCUUCAGUGGUUUGGGUGGUGAUUAUUUGCUUGCUUCACACGAUUUUAUGUGUUGUUCCUUUGGUAAUAAUCUUGUUGGAUGGAUCAAGGAGGAGCGAUGAUCAGGAAAAUAAAGUCGGGAGAAAGAAAAGAUAUAAUGAUGAUUAAGAAAGGCUUUAAUAUACUUGCAAGAUCAGGAAAAAAUAUUUCUUGGUUAAUCAAUUAUUUUCUUGCUUGAUAUGGGUUUGAUACUUUUUGUCAAUUGGUGAUCAUUCUGGGAAGAUCAGGAAGAAGAAAAUGGGGUCUAGAUGAAGAAAAGCUAUAAUGGUGAUUAUUAAUUGAAAUCAGAUGAAAUAAAAGUCUGUUUCCAUCAUUCUUAAUAGGGUUUCAUAGUCCCCGCAGGACUUUAGUACUCAUCAAACUCAUAAAUUUUGAACAACUUUGAGCUAACCUUCUGCAUUAAUUUGGUGCAUCUGCGCAGUUGCAGAGUAUGAACACCCACAAAAUCUUAAUAUGAAUCUUUUGGGGCAAUAGCUUCUAUAUAUGAUGGAUGAUAAGAACAAAGCAAAUCUUGGGUUCUCCAUGGCCACGAUCAUUUAUCCGCCAUAUAAAAUGCAGAUUUUCCUAACACCAACCCCUUAUUUUAAUAAAGUCAAGUUAUUUUAAGGCCCCCAUUAUUAGACAUGCCCUAGAAGCAUUGGGUCUGUGAUUAAAAAAAUGUAGUAAUAUCAUUUAAAAUAUCUAACACUGAAAUUUUGAUAAUUUUGAAUGUCAUAGUGUGGAUUUGAAGAAAGAAAUCGUAUCCAAGAUCUCUUCCUUUUCCUGGGAAACAUUAGUCUUGGUCAAUUAUGAACUGUUACACGUUACCUAUCAUGAUCAUAUUUAUAUUAGCUUUGAUUUCUAUGGGGGUUAUAAUUUAUUUGUAUGCUAAUCAUAGAGGUGAUACAUGUGAUCCACAUGUCAUAUUUGGACUUGGAACCAAUCAUUGGAUUCCUUUGAUGAACUGGCAAUGGAAGAAUACUAAUUGCUCCGGUCCCUUUCUUUUUUCAACGUAGGAUGAUCAGGUCCUUUGAUCUCUUCCACACCCACUGGCUGUUUUUCUUUGUUCCUUUUUCAAUCAUCCAUAGCUGAAAAGCCUUGAUGCCCUCCUUGACUUUCCCAAGAUAAAACACCUUAUCUUCACUUUCUUUCUUUUCCCUUUAAAUUUGAUUUUAGAUCUGAAAUCCAGGGCUUAUGACCCUGUAGAAGAAAGACAGAUAUGAAGCUUGGGAUGAUUUGAACUUCAGUUUGAUUUUCUGCACACUGUUUAAAACUCCUGAAAUAUAGUUGUAUAUUGCAAUACAUUUAUAAUUGAUACAACUGAACCAUGAUGUUUCUAUUAGUAAAAAUUUCUUUGAAUCAAUCCACAGUUCAAAGUACCAAUUUCAAUUGAAACUUUUUUCUUUUCCUGCUUAUUCAAUUGUUUCGUUUUCCACAUAAUGGUAUGACAACAUCAAGAAUACUUCUCAGCAAUUGCCUGCAGGUGAACCCAAAGCUCUUUUGGCUGAGACAUCAUGACCAUGUGAUCAGAUCCUUUAAUCUCUUUAACAGCAUCAGGUGGGUUUUCUUCGAUCAUCCAGAGUUGAAAAUCCUUUUUCGCCAGCUUGUCUUCCUCAGAAAUAAUAAAGACACGUUUAACCGAGGCAUAUUUCUUCGACAACAUGAGAUCCUUUGACAUGUCUUCUUCACUGAACAAGCGUAAGGGUCUCAUCAACAUAGUCCCUAGUGCCAAGUCCUGGAAAAUUUGUGCCCAAAAUGAUAUAACAACAACAAUGAAAAGUCUCAUGAUUUUGGCUGUAAGGCCUGAAUUAAUGAAGUUCUCACCUCAGUUGGGCUCAACUGAUACACAUUCAGUGAUGAGAACAAGGGGCCAAAGGUGAAAGUGGUGGGAGGAUUGUUGGGGCCAUUAUCAUAUGUGAACUGGCUGUCUAGUAGAGGACCUUGUCUCCUGAGUGACUUCAAUAAGAAGUAGAAACCAGGCUAAAAGUCAGAAACAGGGGAAGCCUUCCCCUCUUAAUCAACAAGUAAAUUUCUGUAAAAGAAAAAUAGUAUGUAUGAAGUACCUCUUGAUUGAGAGUGGAAAUGUUGAGAGUGGGACCAGGCAUUGAGGCAGUAACAAAAACAGCUACAGAAACCUUUUCUGGGAACUUCUCCAUGGCCUGAGAAAUGGCCAACCCACCCAAGCUGUGUCCAACGAGAACCACCCUUUCAUCUGCAGGGAGUGACUCCAUGAAGUCCCUCAGUGGCUGGAAAUACUCAGAAAUAGAUCGCAGAUCACCCACUUGUUUUGGGUUAAUUCCAGAAGCAGCCAAGUCCAGAGCAGUGACUUUGUGGCCAGAUGAUUUUAGUAGUGCCACAAUCUUGUACCAAGACCAGGCACCAUGGCAAGACCCAUGAACUAGAACAUAGUGCUUGACGGGAUUAGCCUGUCUCCCCUCUGAUGCCAUUGAAUACACUGAAGAAACAAGAAAAAUCAGAAAGGAAACUAAAAUCGUAUGCUUCUUCCUUUCCUGCGUACUCCUUUCCUGUUACAGAGAUGGUCAGCACCCAAGCAUUUUAAAGGGCACAAUUGGCUUUCACUACAACUACUAAUCUAAUGGAUUAAAAUUUUUCCUGUGAAAUUGACUCUAGAAAUAAAAUAAGGAUUAAGGAUUCAAGAAUAUGUACACAUAGACUGCCAGGGUUUAAAAGAUGACACAUGCACCUGCGUCACACUCUUUUUCAAUGAUAAAGAAGUUAUGCAAAGGAAGAAAGAAUGAAAUAUACAGAGUCUAGUAGUUAACUCCUCCCCUUGAAUUCUUCUGUUGCCCGGAUUGGUUUGUAACUGCAAACAUUUUCUUUUCCCAAUGUGAUCUGUGGAUUGAGUUCUGAUCUCAAUUUGUUUUUGGCAUUUUUGGUUUUGCUUCUGCAAAUCUUGAGAUGUAUCUUUCAAUUAAUAUAAGUAAGUUAUGCAGUAAAGGUUUUUGGACAUAUAAAAUGUUAGCCAAACCUUUCCCAUGGCGGGUUGAAGGUACUUUGGGGUAGGCUUGGUCACGCUUGAUACCUCAAUCGGACUGAAACAUGAUGUUUUCACCCAUUUGAAUUGGUCAAAGCUGUGUUGACUGGCAUGAUUCCUUUAAUAAAGAAGUUGUUUUUGGAUUAAGGCCUACAACACCAAUUUCACUUAAAUACAUCUAUUUAAUAAUUAUGUAUUAACAUAAUUAUAAUCAAUUGAGUCGAAAACAAUUAAAUUAAAAAGUUAAUUAUAUUGACUUAAAUAAAAUCUGACUCAACCAGAUUAUUAAAUAAAUUACUCAACUUAUUACAUGUUUAAUAAUUAAGUCGUAUUUGGGUUUAUACUUUUAACUCAAUUAUUAUUCAUGUUAUAUUUGUGUUGACUUAUUAAGUCACAGUAUCUAAAUUUAAUUUGAUAUGACAUGAACACUACCCACCAACAUUAAUUGUAUCCCCUGUUUUAAGUUCCGGUGGCAUCAUGAGUUUGGCCUCUGUUUUGAGUGUUGAAUUAACCUUUCCCAUGGUUGUCAAGUUCUUCAUAAAUUAUUGGUGAUUGUAAUAAUUUCCUCAUAAAUUAAUGGCGCUAUAUGCUUCUUUAGGAUCCAUUGAUCUUACUAAUUCUCUUCCUGGUAUGGGAAGAAAAUGACUCUUCCAUUAAUGCAGCAUGCAUUGCUACUUAUUUAUCAAGCAAAUUACAUUAUUAUUUUCACACCAAACCUCCAAAUUCAUCAUGUACUUAUCCUAUAUACUACAUGGUGAACUUUAGAGAGCUAAAACAAGCUCUUCUUGAUUAAAGAUAGAUAAUGUCCUAUUGACCUUUUUACUUUGAUGCCUUGAAAUGAGAAAUUUGGAUGUUUUCUACAUCAAGCUUCUUGAAAUUAUUGUGCUUUCUCGUAGUAAAGAAUUUUCCCAAGUUGUGUACUUUGGCUUUUCCCCCUUUGUCAUCUCCUCCAAGGGUUGCACCCAAACACGGUGUUCGGGAUUGAAAAAGAACGGAAUCAAAAACCUUUCCCUCUCUGAAUUCACCAUCACCCUAUGCUCCACACUCUCAUAAGUAUCGUUGCUCCAUACCUGAUUUAAUAUCAAGAUAAUUAGACAAAUGGGUGUGUAAAAUUCCUUGAGCCAAACUGUACUGAUAAGCAAGUACUAAAGACGAUACAGGCUUUGAGAGUUAAAGGUCGUUCUUUCUAUAAAUCAAGGCAAUAAGUAUAUAUACAACAUACAACAUAGUUGCUGUUACAGGCUUACCAAAUUAAUUCCACAAUAAAGGAAACUAUACAUGGUUGGUUACCAAAACAAAAAUAGGAGAUUAGCUAUACAUAUUACUAAAAUAUAGGAUUUGAUAAAGAUUGAAGUGGACUUUCAAAUGAACCAUUUUCCUUAUCAUGACCCCUCAAGAUAGACUUCGAUUGAAUGCCUAGCUUGACGCACAAGUGUUGUAGAUGAGCUAAGGAUUGUGGCUUUGUUAAGGCAUCAACAAGUUGAUCCGCGAAAGCAAAAUGAGGCACGCGAAAAGUGUAAUCUUGAACUCACAAAAUGAAAAUAAAUAGCAAUAUGCUUCAUCCAAAAUGUAAAAUUAGGUUGGCGCAUAAGUAGGUGGUACCGACAUUAUCACAAUAGAUUGGCAUGGGUUUGGGAACUGAAAUACCCAACUCAAGUAAUAGGGAGUUAAGCCAAAGAAGUUUGGAAGAAGUUGUAGCUACAACAUGAUACUCUACCUCAGUUGAGGAACGGGCAACAAAUGUUGCUUCUUUGAACUCCAAGAAAUGACAUUAUGACCUAAAAACACAACAUGAGCACUAGUUAAAGUACGAUCAUCACGAUCACCAAUCCAAUCUACAUCGGAGAAGGCAUGAAGGCUAAGAGGGGAUCCUUUUCGAAGAAACAAACAAUGAUGCGUUGUACCUUUAAGAUAACGGAGAAGAUGUUUGAGUGCCAACCAGUGAGUGGUAGUAAGUCUAUGCAUGAAUUGAGAGAGUUUAUUGAUUGAGAAAGCAAUGUUUGGUUGAGUGAAGAAGAGGUACCGAAGACCACCAACAAUAGAUCGAUACUUAGUCGAAUUGGUCAAGGAUGUGCCAUCCACAAGGCUAGGUAUCUGAGAUGUUGACAUAGGAGUUGUGAAUGACUUGGAAUCCAUCAUUUUUGUGUGCUCCAAAAGAUCUAAAACAUAUUUGUGUUGAGAAAGAAAGAGACCAAAUGAGCUUGGAAUAACUUCAACCCCUAAAAAAUAAGAGGCAACACCUAAAUCUUUAAUGGAGAACCGAGUAGCAAGUGUGUGAACAAAAUGAUUGAGAGUACCAUCAUCAUUGCUAGUAACAAUAAUAUCAUCAACAUACACAAGUAGGAAAAUGGUAAAUAGAGACUUCUUAUGGAUGGACAAUGAAGUGUCAAAUUUGGGGUAGAAACUGCUUCACAAACCCUUGAUGGAGUAGAAACUGCUUCAGUUCUUGAUACAAGGCACAUGGUGCUUGUUUGAGGCUAUAAAUAGCUUUCUUAAGAUGACACACAUGGCUUGGAAACUAAGGAUCAACAAACCUUGGUGGUUGAGCCAUAAACACAUUUUUGGCAAAAGUCCCAUGAAGAAAAAGCAUUGUUCACAUCAAGUUGACAAAGUGACCAAUUGAAGGAAAAUGCAAGACUAAGAAUGAGUAGACCAGUAGUAGGUUUCACAACCGGGCUGAAUGUCUUAGCAUAGUCAAUACCAGGGAGUUGAUGAAAACCCUUGGCGACAAGAGGAGCCUUGUAUUGAGCAAUAGAGCCAUCAGGAUUGCGUUUGAUUCGGAAAAUCCAUUUGCAACCAACUAGAUUCUGUGACUUAGUAGAAGGAUUCAACUCCCAUGUGCCAUUAUGAAGAAGAGCAUCAAAUUCUUCAAACAUAGCUUAACACCACUCAAGAAGCUUUAAAGUUUGGGUAACAUAGGCAGGUGCAACAUCAGGAGUGGUAGAGACAAAAGCAUACUUGGUGGAUGGUUUGAAGACAUUAUUCUUGGAUCUUGUAACCAUGGGAUGGGUGUUGAGGGUAGGGGGUCGAGUGGGUGGGAUGGGGGAAGGGGUAGGAUGUGGGGUUGAAAGCAAGAUUGGGCUUGGAGGGAAACUAUGUUGGGAUUGUGUAGUCUCAGCAUUGGGGGGUAAUAUAAUUGACUGGCCAGCAAGAGUGGUAUCAUGAAUGGUCGAAUGCUUAACUGGAGUGGUACCUAAGAUUGUAUUGUCCUGUGAUGAGGGAAUUGAUACGAGAGGGAAUGGAAUAGAUGGGACUAUGGUGGGUGGAGGUUUCUCGGCAGUUGAAGAAAAGAGGACCAUUAUCUCAACAAAGGUGACAUGAUGAGAGGUGAAUAACUUGUGGGAAACUCGAUCAAGGCAAAGGUAUGCACUUUGUGUAAGAGAGUAACCUAAGAAGACACAUGGACGAGAUUUGGAUUGAAGUUUGUGGUCAUUAUAUGGGAGUAACUAAGGAUAACAAAGACAACCAAACAUUCAUAAUUUGUCAAGAAUUAGGUUUGUGAUUGAAUAAUUUCUCAUAGGAAGAGAGGAAUGAGAGGUUUGGUUUAAGCAUUCGAUUAAUAAGAUAGACUAUAGCUUAAAAGGCAAAGGGCCAAAAAGAAGUAGGAAUGGAUGCAUGAUGGAAAAGGAUGAGUCUGGUUUUGACAAUGUGUCUAUGAUGACGUUUGGAGUAACCAUUAUGCUUAGGAGUAUGAGGUGGGGUGGUGAGAUGAGUAAUGCUAGCAAGAGCAAAAUAAUCUUUUAACGCUAGAAAUUCACCACUAUUGUCAUAAUAGAUUUGAAUUAUUUUGGAACUGAAGUAGUUUUCAACUAGAGCUUUAAAUCGAACAAAAACAUCAUAGACAUUAGAUUUCUUUUGAAGUGGAUAUAACCAGACAUAUUUGGUGAAGUGAUCGACAAAGAUAACAUAGUAUUUAAAGUUAUCAUUUGAUACAAUGGGAGAACUCCAAACAUUUGAGUAAAUAGUUUGUAAAUGAGAUGAACUUGUAAUAGAUGAUGUAGAGAAAGGUAGUUUAUGACUUUUAUUGCACUUACAAGAAUUACAAGCAAAAGUAGAAAUAUCAUUAGAUGAUAAAGAAUGACUCUUAGAGGAAACUAAAUAUUGAAGAACUUUGGAAGAGGGAUGACCAAGUCGAUGAUGCCAAUUUGGAAGUGAAGUCUUAACAUUGGAAAAUACAAUCAAAGGUUUUUUCGUAGUAGGAGAAUUCAACCAUACAUAAAAACCACCACUAUAGAAUAUAGAAUAUAAUUUUAUAUUUAAUUAAUUUUGCAUUUAAAUAAUAUAUGAUAAAGAUAUUACUUUUAUAUUUAAAUAAUAUAAGAUGGUAAUGAGAUAAAAAUGAAUGUUUUUAUGGUUAUAGGAAUAAAGAAAAAUAAAAUAAAAAAGAUUUCAAUUACUUAAUUAAUAGUAAUCCUAAUUUAAUUUCAAUUAAUAUUAAUCUUAUUUAUAUCUUUCCUUUCUUGAAUAUACCAUAAAAAGAUUUAAGUAGUAAAUAAAUACAUGGGUAGAAGGAUACAUCCAGUCAUGAGGUGUACCUAUAUAUUAAUUUUAUAUUUAAAUAUUAUAGAAUAUAAUUUUAUAUUUAAUUAAUUUUGCAUUUAAAUAAUAUAUGAUAAAGAUAUUAGUUUUAUAUUUAAAUAAUAUAAGAUGGUAAUAAGAUAAAAAUGAAUGUUUUAUGGUUAUAGGAAUAAAGAAAAAUAAAAUAAAAAAGAUUUCAAUUACUAAAUCAAUAGUAAUCCUAAUUUAAUUCCAAUUAAUAUUAAUAUUAUUUAUAUCUUUCCUUUCUUGAAUAUACCAUAAAAAGAUUUAAGUAGUAAUCUGGGAUAGAUAUUAAUUUUAUAUUUAAGAAAUAUAGGAUAUAAUGUAGAGAAUAGAGAUACACAAACAUAUUUUAUAUUUAAGUAGUAAUCUUCAUGAGCUUUACACAAACAAAAAACUUAGAUGUUUACAUCAUCUAGAAGCCCCACUUCGCCUCUCUCUCAGCCCUCAGCCCUCAGGCUUAAGAAGUUGUCAUGAGAAACCUAACACAAACCUUUCUUAUAAUUAUUGUUCAUAGUCGUAGCUACCAAGAAUUCCAAGUUAGGAAGAAAAAAAGAAUCAUAAAUACAGCAAAAAUAACUUCCACUACAUGCGGCAGCAGGGGUACCAAAUUAGGGAAAUUAAGAAGUAAACCAUGCCCAAUCAAUUGCUGGGAAAUAUUAUUUGGAUAUCAAAUUAGGGAAGCUAUUAAGUGUGGUUUUUGUAGUGUUAAAUCAGAGAGAAAUUUAAUUAUAUUAUGAAUUUCAAAUUUAAUUAUUCUAAGAACAAUGAAUUACUCUAAUAGAAUUUAAUGUAUAAAAACAUUUCAAACACUCGCAACAUAUAUCAUUUUCAUUUUUUCCAAAAGCACCAAAACCCUAUAACAAUGAAAAUAAACCCAAUAACAAUGGAAAUAAACCAAAUAACAAUGGAAUCUCAAACCUAAUCACAAACAUUUCCAAAAUACCAACUAACAAAACCCAAAAAAAAAAAAAAAUUCCCAAAACUCACCAAAACCUAGAGAGAUGAUUUUCACGGGAGUUUCUUGGAGGUGGCUUCAGCUUUACCGACCAUAGCUUCCAUGGGGCUUCUUCAGCAUGGCUUCCAUAAGCUUUUUUUGACAAUAGCUUCCUCCAAGCAAUGGGGGUUGUGGGUAGGUUUUGUGGGUUUUAUGGCCGUGGGUUUUGGAGAGGAAGAGAAAAUGGGUUGGCAGGAGAGAGAAAGAAAGGCUUUAUAUUCGAUUAGGAAAGUGAUGUGGCCGUGGGGUAUACCCACAUGGUUAAAAGAAAGACAUUUUUCCAUUAGAAAAAAAUGUCUCAUGGCUUUUUUUAUUGUUAUUGUUAUACCCAAAAAAAAUAAUUUAAUUUUAUUGUUAUACCCUAAAAUUUUUUUAUUGUUAUUGUUAUUGUUCUGUGUUCAGAACUAUUAAUUUAAAAAGUUUUUCAAGUUUUAAAAUUAUCAAAUUUUUAAAAUUUACAAUUAUUUUAAAAUUUUAAAUUUACAAUUAUUUUUAAAAUUUUAAAUUUAAAUUAAUUUUGAAAGUUCAAUGUUUUACUCAAAGUGUUAUUCUAAAAUUUUUAUUAAGUUUUAUCAAGUUUUUUAAGUUUUAAAAUUAUCAAGUUUAAAAUUUAAAAAUUUUAUAUAAAUACAAAGAAUAAUUAAAAAUAAAAUAUAACAUAUAAAUGUUAUUUUUUAAAACAUAUUUAAAAACAUAAAAAAUAUAUAUUAAGAAUAUUUUAGGUUUCUAAAUCAACUUUUAUUUUAAAAUACAUCGGCAAAAAAAUUUUUAAAAAUGUUUUAAAAAACCGUUUUUUGUAUAAUUGUUUAUGAAAAUGUCAAAAUACUUCACAAAUAAACCAGUUCGAGUCCCCUCAGGGCCUCGUGGGAUUAGUCGAGAUGUGCUUAAGCUGGUCCGGACAUCCACGGUUAUAAAUAAAAAAUAAAAAUAAAAAAAUAAAAAAUACUUCACAAAUAAAACUAUAAUUUAUUGGUAUUUUUGUGGGCCUUAGGUGUUAGGAAAUGUUAUAUGUGCAUCCUACUCCUACUCUGUCUUCAUUAUUUUCAGUCCCUUUAUAUCUUAUACCAAUCUACUAUUAUUUUAUCAUAUGGUAUCAGUUUUUCAUAUUUGAUGAUAUUAAUUUCUACCUUAUCCCAUAUGCUUGUAGCUUAAUUUCAUUAUACAUUUGGACAACAGAAUUUCAGACUUCCAUUUGGUACUAAAUAUAAUAAACAUAAACAGAGAAUGAUGCAUUUAAGAAUAUUUUUCCAUGAAUUUUAACUUUAUAAAUUUGUUAAUUUUACAAAUUUAAGAAUUAUAAAAGUUUAGAACUUUUAUUUUUAAUCAUAAACAGAGGAUGUUAUUUUUGUAGUUAUAAAUUGUUUUUGUAUUGCAAAAAUCAUAAAGAUUAAAUAAUAUUUUAUGAUUGAAAAUUAAAUAAAACUAUAAACAAUUUUACUAGUAAUUGUUCAUAGUAAAAUUUAGUUAUCAUGACUAUUGAUACUUUAAAUAUAAUAAGAAUUAUUUAUCAUAUAUAAAAUCAAAAUUGUUUUUUAAUUUGCUAACUCACUUGCAUUUAAACUUUUUAUCAAAUAAUAUCAAAUUGAACCAUCAUAUUUUUAAACUAAUUUAUUAAACUUUAUUUUGCUUCUUAUUAAAACAUUAAUUAUAACAAGGAAAUUAAAUAAUUUUAACUAAAGAAAAAUAGGUAACACACUAAUUUGUUUCUUAACUUAAAAAAAAAUAGUAAUAUAACUUUAAACUUUUUAUAAUUAAUAAGAACUAUUAUUAUUACUAUUAAUGAUAAUUUCUAUUUAUGAUAUAUAUAUAUAUAUAUAUAUAAGAUUUUCUAAAAAAUUAUAAUAGGUAACCCAAAAAUUGUUUAAAAUAAAUAAUAGACUUUGGUCACGAUUGUGUGAACCCCGUGGCCAUAGGUUCAAAAUAUUUAAAAAAAACUCUAUGCAUUGGUAAUGGUCAAGCGAAAUUUGUAACUACAGGUUCUUAUACAGUCACGGUCAAUCAAUGGCGUGACUAAAAGUCACGGUCAAUCAAUCACGUCACUCAAAGUCACAAAAUAUCUAUUUAGUGACGGUUUCACAAAAACCUGUGACUAAAACAUCUUUUUCAUUACACUUUUUGUCACGGAUGAUAAAAUAACCGUGACUAAAGUUAUUGGCGCCAAAAUUUCCCUCCAUAAAUUUACAAAUAGUCACAGUUUUAAAUAAAUCCGUGACUAAAAUACCUCUUAUUAAUCCUUUUGGUGACGGUUGAUAAAAUCACCGUGACUAAACAUGUUUUUUUUUUUUUCCAAAUUUGAUUUAACACAUAUAGUCACAACCUUACCCAAUAAUAUCUUUGGUGGGCCGUGACUAAAGAUUCGUCAUUAAAAAUCUAUUUUUUUGUAGUGCUAGUUGGUCCAUGCAAAAUUCUUGCCCCCGUACAUAGACCAUUCACAUAAAAACAAGUGGGUAAGAAUUCAAUGAAAACAUUAUUUGUUAAGCAAAAUUGGGAAAUUGAAAUCAAGUUCUUUUUCAUGGUGAGAACACAAGGGAUAUUAUUAAGUUGAAGUAGCUUUAAUGCAGUUGGGAGGGUGGUGGAUCCUGUGUGUGUGAUUUCUAGACCUUUACCAUCACCAAUAAUUAUGUCGUCUGGGCCAGCAUAGUCGGAAUGCAAAGAUAGAUUCUGAAGAUCAUUAGAUAUGUGGUGUGAGGCACCAAAAUCCAAGACCCAAUUUGGAGAGACAACAGUUGGUUGAGUUGUCGCAUGUGUUUGUGCAGAAGAGGGGCGGUAACUGUAAUUGGGUGGAACACCAUGAUGUUGACUGGCAAUAUAUCGAAAUGAUGGACAUCUUUUCGCUGAGUGUCCUUGAACACCACACAAUUGACAAGUCCCCUUAUAUGGAUGAGGGGUGUGAUUCGAAGUAUUCGAGGUAGUCAUUGGUUGAGGUUGUUUGGAUGUACGGUAUUGAGACGAAGAGUAAGGCUGUUGAUUGAAGAAUCGAUGCGAUUGUGGUUGUUUGGUAGCAGCAUUGGUGGAAGCAGGCAAUGAGACAUUCCAAGAAGAAUACUUGGCAGAUUCUCAUAAAGUUUGAGCCUCAAGAGGAAGCAAUUUCUCAUAAAGUUCCUCAAAGGAAAAACAGUUUCAUGGGCAUGGAUGGUUGAGUGUAAAUCUUUGUACAUCUCAGGCAAACCAUGAAAUAUUUGAAUAAUGAAGUCCUCAGGGUCUAUGGUGACGUUCAUGAGAUAGAGAACAUCAACGCAAAUUUUAACAAAUUGCAUAUACUGUGUUAUGGACUGAGUGCCUUUGGACAAGUUGUCGAGUUGAGUCCGAUAAUGAAUUAUUCGGCUUCGAGAUGCUUUAGCAUAGGUGUUGUGAAGUGUAGACCAAGCCUCAAGGGAGGUUGUGGCUGAUGCAAUGAAUGAGAAAAUUGUUGGACUAAGUGAUGAAACAAUAGCAUUAAGAAGAUGGUCUUGACGAAUCCAAUGGGUGUAAGCUGGGUUUGGGGUUGUAGUACCCUUUUCAGAAGUAAGAGUGCUAGAAGGACAUGGUAAAGUGCCAUUGACAUAUCCCAGUAAAUCAUAACCGACUAGGAGAGUGUAAAAUUGGAGUCUCCAUGCAGAAAAAUUGUGUUGAGUGAGUUUGAUGGGGGUUUGGGAAGAGGCGUUUAUGGCUAUGAGGUUUUGAGUAGUGUAUAUAGAGAUGUUGGCAGCAGUGUCGAUGGAGGAAACAAUUGAGGGGGAAGGGCUAGAGCCUUCGUUGGUUUAUGGGUUUGGUGAGGCAUGAGAAUCAACUAUGUGAGCUAUGGUUGCUCUGAUACCAUAAAGACGAUACAGGCUUUGAGAGUUAAAGAUUGUUCUUUCUAUAGAUCAAGGCAAGAAGUAUAUAUAUAGUAUACAACCUAGCGUUACAGACUUACCAAAUUAACUCCACAAUAAAGGGAACUAUACAUGGUUGGUUACCAAAACAAAUAUAGGAGAUUAGCUGUACAUAUUACUGAAAUAUAGAGACGAUCACGGAGGAUUUGAUAGAGAUUGAAGUUGACUUUCAAACGAACCAUUUUCCUUAUCAGGUACUAAUUCAAAGUUCUUGGGUGGUACUUGAAUUAUAUCCCCAACAUUGAUGAUAUAUGCAUCUAGGGUGGGCUUAACUCGAAUCCAUUCUCCAUCAGUUUUUUGCUUUACUUCCAACCCUCUGACAUCAUCCUGGGCAAGGAUGGUUAAGGCUUCGGCAUCCUUUUGGCAACGAACACCCAGAGCUAGGUGAGGGAUGGGGCAUGGUGGGUAGUGAUUGAGGCGGAUGAAGGUAGUUGAUUCUUCAAAGAAAAGAUUGAAUCUGUUUUCCGGCAAACCUAAGCUCAGAGAGAUGAGUCCCAACAUCUUGAAAGCUAGUUUUUCCAUUUCUCUAGCAUAUUCUUCACAUACCUCCCUGUAUAAAUUGGUUCAAUUAGAACCAAAAAACCAAGUAAAUCAUUGAAGUGACUCUGCCUUAGCUGGUGGAAUUUGUACCUUAAUUCAGGAGAGUACUGAGGCCACUGAUUGAUCAACUCUUUGAGCUCCUUGUCGUCAGGAUCAGGCGAAGCAGGGAUGAAGGCGGGGGAUGACACCACGAAAUCAAAGACUUCCUUCCAGUCCCUAACGUUCUUGGUAUGCUCAGUAUCAAAAUACCACAAAGGAUUCACCCCAUCUCUACUCACCUUCCUCUUCUCCUACAAUGGCAGAGCGAAGAACUUCCUCGCCGCAUCCUCAAUUUUCCGGCGAGACUCCGAGGGCAUCCCAUGGUUGAUGACUUGAAAGAAGCCUCGAUUCUUGGAUGCAUCAGCUAUUUGAGAAACAUGGUUAGAGGCAUUGGCGGAAGAGAGAUCAAUGAGUGGGAUGCCUUCAGCUUCGAUAACAACGAGCUUAGGCCCAUGUUGGGUGUCUUGGAUGAAGGCUGGAUCGACCUCUCCCAUGGCUGUGGUAGUGAUUAGAACCUAGAAAUGGUGGUUAUGCACUGGUAGCUGCAGGUUGAGAUUGUGAAGGGGACUUGGGCCACUUGGCAGGUGAUUUUUGUAGUGUAGUGGGGUUGGUUUGGUUCAUUGAACCUUGACAUAAUGACAUAAAUGGGAUACGUUUUAUAAGUUCAAGGAAUCAUGGUAUUUGGAAAAUAUGAAUGAGUUGAAAAUUUUAAAAAAUAGGUUUAUAGGAGUAUAUUUUAAGGAAAAUAAUUUUCAAAUCAUAUCAUGUAUAGGAUAGUGACUUUGUACAUGUUUGAGGGGAAUCAUGUCAAAGUGCACUAUUUGAAAAACAUGGCUAAAUUGUAAACUUAAAAAAGUGGUUUCAUGGAGAGUACAUUAUGAGAAAAAUAAUUUCCAAAUCAUGUACUAAAAUAAUAACUGUAUCCAUGCUUCCAAAACUACUAUUCAACAUAUUUUCAUCAUGUCACAUUUUCCUAUGACGUCAUUGCCCUCAUUUCUUAGAAGAAAAACCCUUUCUGUUCUACUUUACUUUACACUGUUUGUUCCUAUAACCCUUUCCUUUUUUUAAUUUUAAUUUUUUUAAAAAAAUAUUUCUCAUCUAUUUUCUCGAUUUUUAAAAUUCUAUUUAAUUAAAAAAAUUAGAAUUUUUUUUAAAGUACAAUUCAUUUAUUUAUUUUUUCAUUUUAUUUAAAUGUGAUGUAUAAUUAAUACAUUAACAUAAAUUAGUUUUUAAUAUAAAAAUAUAUUCAUCUAUAAUAAUUAAAAAUCUAAUAAAUAAAUAAAUAAAUAAAUAUUAGUAUUUUAAAUAAUAUUGAUUUCGUAUAUACAAUAUUUUAUUUUGUUUCAUUAUUAUAGAUCUCAUUUUCUAUAUUUUUUAUUUCUAAUUUUUCUUAUAGAAUUUUAAACCUAGAUUUUUUAAAAAUGAAAUUUAAAAAAACACUAGAAAUUAAAGUUUUUGUUUUCUUCAAAAUAAAAACAAAAAAAAAAUAAUAUACAAAAAAAAAAUAUUAGUUUACCUUUAAUUUCAUUCAACAAAAAAUUAGUAAUGAUAAUUUUUUAAGAGUAUUUAAUUUUAAAAGUAAUAUUUGAAGAUAGGUAAAAUAAAAAUUUUAAAAGUGUUUGUAUUAAAAUUUUGAAUAUAAAUUCACAACUCCCAUCAUAAUACAUUGAUAUUUAAAAUAAAAAAAACCCCUAAUGAUUUUUUUUUAUUAUAUUAAACAUGUAAAAAAAGUACAUUUUUGUUUAAUUAAAAAUUUAAACCAUUAAAAUUGUUUUUUUCUUUAAUAAAUAAUGUUUUUAAAGAGUACAUUAUACCUAUUUUUUUGGGCAUGUUAUUUAAUAAUUGCUACCAAAGUCAUAACAAUGACAAUAAAAAACUAAAUAUAAUAGUGCAUAUUUGCUAUCUAUAGUGGUACUUUUAGUUACUAACAUUAUUAUUUUUAAGUAAAAAUAAUGUUAUUAUUUCCUGACAUAUUUGAUGUAGAGGUUGAAGUGAUGACAGUGCUAAAUAAGUUAGUACAUCCUAUUAUCUACAGUGAUAUUUUUAGUUACUAUUAUUAUUAUUUUUAGGUAAAGACAAUGUUACUAUCUCUAGUGAUACAUUUGAUGUAUGGAUUGGAGUGGUGAUAGAUGAUGUAACAACUGUGUAUAUGGGGUCAAUCAAGUGUAAUUGUCCUCUUAUUUGUAUAGAUCGCAACCCACCUCCGACAGUGGUUGAAAAGUAGUCUUGGAAGCAUAUCACCAAAGGGACAUUUUGAAUAAUAAUUUGGGAAAAAGCGUUCAUCAGACAUAGCCUAAAAAGUAUAUCCCAACAUUGCUGUUUAUUUAUCAAGCAAAUUACAUUAUUAUUGUCACACCAAACCUCCAAAUUCAACAUGUACUUAGCCUAUAUACUGGAUGGUGAACGGGCUAAAACAAGCUCUUACUGAUUACAGAUAGAUACUGUCCUACUGACACUUUUACUCUGAUACCUUGAAAUGAGAAAUUUGGAGGUUUUCCACAUCAAGCUUCUUGAAAUUGCUGCGCCUUCUCGCAGAAAAGAACUUUCCCCAGUUGUAUGCUCUGUAAUUUUGCUUUUCCCCCUUCGUCAGCUCCUCCAAGGGCUUCACCCAAACAUGCUGCCCGGGAUUGAAAGAGAACGGAAUCGAAAACCUUUCCCUCUCUGAAUUCACAGUCACCCUGUGCUCCACACUUUCAUAAGUAUCAUUGCUCCAGGCCUGGUUUAAUAUCAGUAUAAUUAGCCAAAUGGGUGUAACUGAGCCAAACAGUACUGAUAAGCAUGUACUUAUAAUUCGAAGUUCUUGGGUGGUACCUGAAUUAUAUCCCCAACAUUGAUGAUAUAAGCAUCUGGGGUGGGCUUAACUCGAAUCCAUUCUCCAUCGGUUUUUCGCUUUACUUCCAACCCUCCGACAUCAUCCUGAGCAAGGAUGGUUAAGGCUCCGCCAUCCUUGUGGCGACCAACGCCCAGAGCUAGGUGAGGGAUGGGGCAAGGUGGGUAGUGUUUGAGGCGGAUGAAGUUCGUUGAUUCUUCAAAGAAAAGAUUGAAUCUGUUUUCCGGCAAACCUAAACUCAACGAGAUGAGUCCCAAUAGCUUGAAAGCUAAUUUUUCCAUUUCUCUAGCAUACUCUUCACAUACCUCCCUAUAUAAAUCAGUUCAAUUAGAACAAAAAAGAUAAGUAAUUCACUGUAGUUAUUGUGCCUUAGCUGGUGAAAUUUGUACCUUAAUUCAGGAGGGUACUGAGGCCACUGAUUGGUCAGCUCUUUGAGCUCCUUGUCGUCAGGAUCAGGCGAAACAGGGAUCACGGUGGGGGUUGACACCACGAAAUCAAAGACUUCCUUCCAGUCCCUAACGUUCUUGGUAAGCUCCGAAUCAAAAUACCCCAAAGGAUUCACCUCAUCUCUACUCACCUUCCUCUUCUCCUCCAAUGGCAGAGCGAAGAAUUUCCUCGCCGCACCCUCAAUUUUCCGGCGAGACUCCGAGGGCACCCCAUGGUUGAUGACUUGAAAGAAGCCCCAAUUCUUGGAUGCGUCAGCUAUUUGAGAAACAUGGUUGGAAGCAUUGGCGGAAGAGAGAUCAAUGAGGGGGAUGCCUUCAGCUUCGAUAACAGCGAGCUUAGGCCUAUGUUGGGUGUCUUGGAUGAAGGCUGGAUCGACCUCUCCCAUGGCUGUGGUAGUGGUUGGAAGUUAGAAAUGGGGGUUAAGCACUGGUGGCAGCAGGUGUAGAUGGUGACGGGAAAUUGGGCCACACGGCAGGUGGUUUUUGUAGUGUGGUGGGGUUGGUUUAGUACAUUGAACCUGGGCAUAAUUUGGGUUACUUUUUAAGGUUUGGUUGAGGGUGUGACCUCAUGGAUUGCGCAUAUAUUAAUGAUAAUUGGUCAAGUGAUACUGCAGUCCCAAAGGGAAUCUCUCUCAAUGAUUUUGCCGACAGCUCCCUCCACAUUAAAAUGUUUCAUCCGUAUUUGAAUUGGAGUCUAAUGCUCUGAUCAAAGAUACCUUUCGCUUAGUCGAUCAGUGUUUGAUUACUAAAUAAGAUGGUGUCACAAAUAUUUUUGAAUUCUAGGUCAAAGUUAACGAGUGCAAAGGUUAUCAAUUUGAUAAGAUAAAUUGUUUAGAAACACUUUUAAAAAUGAUUCUUGAAAAAAUAUUUUUUUAAGUUUAAAAACCAUUUUUAAAUUUAGAAUAAAGGUUUAUUUAAAAACUUAUAUUAUUAUAAACUUAUUUUUUAUAUUUUUAAAAAAUAAUUUUUAUAUAUAAUAUUUUAUUUUCAAUCAUUUUUUACAUUUUUUUUAAAAAGGUAAAACUACUAAAAAAAAUACUUAAAAUAAGUUAUCAACAAAUGUCUUAUUGUCAUGACAAUUUUCAAAAACAUGUUUUAGAAACAAUUGAAAAUCAAAGUAUUUUCAUAUUCCUUUAUUCCCAAAAACAAAAAAUUAUUCUUGGUAACGGUUCCAAAUGUAUCCUUCAUUUGUUUAUCUUAUUAUAUAAGUUUUAAAAUAAAAUACAAAAAAUAAUUUUCAAUGAUAAUUUGUUACGGUUUUAUCCAAAAUUUUUAUAUUUUUAAUCAAUUAAUUUAUUGAUACGUAUAUUUCUCAUGAGACCUUUUUCUCACUAAAAACAUUACUUUUUUAUAAGACAUUUUUAAUAAAUUAAUUUUGAUACGUAGAUUAAAAAUGUCUUAUAACAAUAUAAAUUAAUUAAAUCAUUAGUUGGCCAUUUGGUCUCAUGCUUACACAACGACUUCUCUCAUGGCUGCCUAACAUGAAUGAACAACUCUCUACAACAAGUAAGGUACACUUAAUUAAAAAAUUAUUUAAUUUAAAGAUGUUCGAGAAUGAGAAUUUCAAGUAGCACUUGAAUGAAUUUAAUGAGACCACAAAUUAAUUAAAUUCGAUGGUUAUUAAAUUUGAUGAUAAGAUUCAAGCCUUAUUAAUCCUCGGUUAAUUGCUUGAGAGUUGGAAAGACACAAUCACCUCAAUCAAUAGUUCAUCCAAAAAAUCAAAAUUGGUGUUUUCGAAUGUAGUAGACAUGAUUAUAACCGAGGAGAUCAAGAAGCAUGAAGAAGGUUUUUCAAAUUCAUGAUCAACAUUAAAUAUGGAGAGCAAAGCUAGAAAUCAUAAUAAAGGUAAUAGGCGUGAUAAAUCCAAAUCGAGGAAUGAUAGGUUGAAAUACAAAAAUUCCAUAAAUUCCUAACAUCAGACGAGUAAGAACAAUAUCAAAUGUUGGAAUUGUGAUUGGAGCUAAAAUAUGUGCUCAAAUGACAUAUAUUUGAUAUGAUUUAUAUAUCAUAAGACACUCAAAUCAUCUGACUCUACCCAAAUUGAUACUAAGGUCCUAGCCAUGAGUUUAACUUGUAUUUUGGAGAUUUAUCUCAGGUUUAAGAAAAGAAAAUGGUGUAAGGUGAAUCAAUUUAGAUUUUGAAAGAAUAAGAAGGGGUUAAAUGAGAAAAUGAACAAGUCAAGACUCAUGAAAUAUGAAGAAAGGAAAGACGAGGAUAUCGUGAGUUUGGGAGAUGAGGAAUGACCAUUAUCAUGAAGUAAGAAAUAAGGCAUACAAACAUAGAAAAUGAGGCAUGAAACAAAAUUCAUCAAGUUUGCAUGGAAAUUUGGGACUCAAAAUCUGGUAAUAACAUAUACUCUGACUUUAAAAUGAAAUUUGGAGCAUUUCCCAAAGUCCAUUUUAGGCAAGCUAUAUAUUGUUUUGAAGCAUGGGAAGUUAGGAAUUCAAAGCUUCAAACAAUGUCCAAAUUAGAGCUAAAUAAGGAAGUUAUGCACAUUUAAAGCAAACUAGUUAGAGAGAAAAACUGAGUUCGAAAUUGGUCACUUGGAUUUGAAAUGGUUUUUGUCCAUUUAAAACUCAAAGAAAUGAAAGAAAACUUUUGGCAUUGGCUAAGUUUGAAUCUCUUUACCUAUUUCAAACAAGAGGCAUACAUUUCAAAGUCAAAUGAACAUACAUGGGCAGUGAGUGAGUUCAAAAUUCACUAUGAAUUUUGAACUCACCUUGUUGAUUUCAAAUUGGACCAUUUAUUUCCCACUUAUGAGUUCAAAAUUGAUUUGAACUCACCCAAAUUUCGAACUCAACCAUUAGUGACCGAUUUUAGGCUCUGAGACAUGUCAAAACGAGUUUCAAAUGCCUUUAUCCAAUUCAAAACGCAUCAUACUCAUUUAGAACUCGUAAUUUUUGGGGUUUUUUUUAAAGGUUAUUUAUGACUUUUCGUUACAAUAAGUGGCCAAUGAGAGUGUACCACAUGUUAGGUCAUUGAAGUUACUAUAAAAACUCUUUUAGUUAUAGUGUUUAGGUGAUCUUCCAAGAGUUAGACAUUUCGUGGGGAAGAAUACGAGAACUUUUGGUUUAUUUAUUUUCUUCUUUAUUGAAUGUAUUGUUUUUAGUUUCCUUUAUUUCAAAUUAUGAAUUUUUACUUUAUUAUGGAUUGUGAAUGUGACAUUACCCCCAUGAGAGGAUAAAAAGCUAACUUGGGGCUUAAACAUAAAAACUAACGGUUAGAAAACUUAUAGGGACAUUAGGUAAAUUAUUAUAACAAUAAGAUUAAUUAAUGGUUGAGUUACAAUUUAUUAAUUUUUUAUCCUAUCAUUGUGAGUUAGUUUAGAGAAUAAUAUAGUAGGUGAUUAUUCGAUACUAGUGAUUCUUGGUAACUCUUGAUCAUUAGUAAUCCUGAUUUUUCUUAUAGUUAUCUGCCCCAAAACGAAGUUAGAAGGAGUAGGAAAUGUUAAAAAGCCAAACCUUAAAUUGAUAAUAAUUUCAUUCAUUUGAUGUGUUGACAAAUCAGAGGGUUGGCUGCAUCCAUCAACUCUCUUUGUGUUCGCCGUGAGCACUUGGGUGAAUGCACUAUAAGGUUAGAGUAUGCACAUUUCUUAACAGCAAUUGCUUUUAGGAGAAUUGGUAGUGCCUGAGGUCCUACAUGAUAGUUUUAAGAACUUGUUUUAAAAAGAAAAAUUAAGUUUUAGAUGUACUUUUGAGUUAUAGGGCUCAAGUUGAUUGCAAGCGGCCAAGAAUCCCAAAACCCUAAGAUCACUCUAGUUAAGAAACCUUUGUUAUCUCUAUUUCUAUACCUUAAGUUAUAUUGUGGAAAACCUCAAACUUAAAUCAAUUAAAUUAAAAAUCAAUAUUCGUUUUGUUAUUAAUUUAGUUUUUUUUUUUUUUUACUUAGUUUCACUUCAUAAAAGUUAAUUCACAUAUUGUUUUUCGCUUUAGGAUUUAAAUAAAAACAAUUCAUUUAUCCUAGUAUUGAAAAAUUCCAUAUGUUAGUCCCUAAGGAUGAUACCCAAAGAAUUACAAAAACCAUAGUGACUAUUUCUCUAGUUUUUUCUUAACCAAAGUUACUAUGUAAAAAGGCUUAGUAUUUUACAUAAGAGAGAAGAUUGAUCAAAUUGUGGAAAGAAGAGACAUUAUAAAAAUGAGUGUAAGGCUGCCAAGAAGGAUAAGGAUGGUGACAACAAGACCAAUGCAAAUGUUGUGUCAAAAGAAUUAGAUGAUGCUCUUAUCUGCUAUUUAGAGAGAACAACAUAAUCGUGGGUAUUAGAUUCAGGGGCAUCGUUCCAUGCUACCUCAAGUGGAGAAUUAUUUGAGAAUUAUGUCUCAGGUAAUCUAGGGAAGAAGUAUCUAGGUGAUGACCAAGCAUGUGUUGUUAUUGGCAUAAGUGAAGUGCAUAUCAAAUAUUUGAAUGGAUUUGUAUGGAAUUUGGACAAUGUGAGGCACAUUUCAAACCUGAGAGAUAAUUUUAUUUCCAUUGGGUAGUUAACAAAAGAUAGUUAUGUGACAACUUUUUUAGGUGACACAUGGAAUAUCUCAAAGGGAGCUAUUUGCCAUGGCAAGAAGAAUGAUACUCUUUACAUGACAAUGAAUGGUUGUGGGUUUAUUACAAUUGUUGAGAGCAAAGAAGAUUCGAAUUUAUGGCAUUAAAGGCUUGGUCACAUGAGCAAUGAGGGGUUGGAAAUUAUACACUCAAAUGGGAAGUUGUCAAGUUUGAAAUAAGUUGACAUUGACAUGUGUGAAAAUUGCAUACUUGGGAAACAAAGAAGGGUUAGCUUUAAGAAAGUUGGAAAAACUCCAAAAGAAGUAAAACUGAAGUUAGUUUAUACAAAUGUUUGGGGACUUGCUUCAAUUUCAUCUAUCGGUAGAAGAUUUUUUUUUGUGACCUUCAUUGAUGAUCAUUUGAGGAAAGUGUGGGUAUACUUUAUGAUACACAAAUGAGAAGUGUUUGAUGUAUUCAAGAGACGGAAAACAAUGGUGGAGAAUAAGACAUGUAUGAGAGUCAAGAAGUUACGGUUUGAUAAUGGUAGGGAGGAUGAAGAAUUUGAGUUCAAGAAGAUCUAUUAUGAAAAUGGAAUUAAAUUAGAGAAGACCGUGCCAAGGACACCUUACCAGAAUGGUAUAGCAUAAUGAAUGAACAAGACAUUGACUGAAAGAGAAAAAAAACGUGUAUACAAGCAAGGUUGUCAAAGGAGUUCUUGGCAAAAGCAAUCAACAAAACAACUUACUUGAUCACAAAAUACUGGAAAAAGUGUGAACUAAAAAAAAGGUAAAGUUUUCUCAUUUGAGGGUAUUUGGUUGUGUAUCAUAUAUAUAUAUAUAUAUGUGUGUGUGUGUGUGUGUGUGUGUGUGUGUGUGUGUGUGUGUGUGUGUAUACAUAUUAGUGAUCAUGACAUAAACAUACUUGAUGCUAAAUCACUAAAAUGUACUUUCUUAGCUAUGGUGUUGAUAAUUUUGGUUAUUAGUUUUGGGAUGACCAGAGUAAGAAAGUGAUUAGAAGUAAGGAUGUCGAUUAGAAGUAAGGAUGUCAUAUUUAAUGAGAAAGUUUUGUAUAUGUAGAGAGAUGCAACACAUUCCAAUAGUCUGGUACAACUUGAACCUAUUUACUUUGAGCCAAAUGAUGUCCCAUUGAAUAACAUGACAAAUAAGACAGGUCAUAAUCAUUAGAUUGAGGAAAAUACUGCAUAAGAUGUUAAUAUAUCACAAGAUCUAGUUUCAAUUCCUACUUUGAGGAGAUCUAACAAGCCACAUGUACCAAAUAGGAAGUAUUUAAAUUAUUUGCUACUAAUAGAUGGAGGUGAACCUAAAUGUUAUGAUGAGGCAUGUCAGAUGGAAGAUAAUAGAAAGUGGGAGCUUACGAUGAAAAAUGAAAUGAAGUCCCUUAUUCUUAACCAGACUUGGAAGCUAGUCGAGUUACCAAUGGGUAAGAAAGUUUUUCAUAAUAAGUGGGUGUAUUAAAUUAAGUAGGAGCAUGGUGGUUCUAAGAGAUAUAAGGCUAGAUUGGUGGUCAAAGGGUUUCAAUAGAAGAAAAAUGAUUGACUAUACAUACAUUUUCUCUCUAGUUGUGAAACUAACUAUUAUUCAAUAUGUUUUGAGUAUUGUAGCAAUAAAGAGUUUACAUAUAGAACGGUUAGAUGUGAAGAUAGCUUUCCUCUAUGGUGAUUUUGAUGGGGAAAUUAGUAUAUAUGCAACAACUAGAGGGUUUUGUAGUGAAGGGUAAAGAGAAUCUGGUGUGCAAAUUAACUAACAGUCUGUAUGAUUUAAAACAAGCCCCAAGACAAUGGUAUAGAAUAUUUGGUAGUUUCAUGCAAAAGAAUAGGCAUCUCAAGUGCAAUGCAGACCAUUGUUGUUACUUUAAGAGAGUUGGUUCUAUCUAUAUUAUUUUGUUACUUUAUGUUGAUGGCAUGUUAGUAGUUGACGCAAAUCUAGAUGAAAUUAACAAGUUGAAGAAAUAGUUGUCUAGUGAAUUUGAAAUGAAGGACUUGGGAGCAACAAAGUAGGUACUUGGGAUGAAGAUUAGCAAAGACAAAUAAACGAGCAUCUUAUGGUUAUCUUAGGCUAAGUAUAUAUACUCAUAAAGUAUUGCAAAUAUUCGACAUGAGUAAUGUAAGGCAAUUAGAACAUCAUUAGCAAAUCAUUUCAGGUUGUCUAAUUAAGCAUUGCCCAUGGGCAGAUGAGGAAAAAGACUUCAUGGCUAAGGUUUCAUAUGCCUUAGCCAUUGGAAGUUUGAUGUAUGUUAUGAUAUGCACGACACUAGACAUUGCCUAUGCAGUGGAAGUUGUGAGCAAAUUUAUGUCAAAUCUAAGUAAGUAGCAUUAUGAAGUAGUGAAAUGGAUGCUUAGGUACUUACAGGGUACUACAAAAAAAUGUCUAUGUUUCGAAAGGGGUGAGUUAAAAUUGCAAGGAUAUGUGGAUGUUGAUUUUGCCAAUGAGAUAGAUAAUUGGAAAAGUACUACAUGGUAUGUGCUCACUUUGGGUACUAUUGCUAUUAGUUUGAUUUCUCAAUUGUAGAAGAUUGUUAUUUUAUCUACAAUUGAAGUAAAAUAUGUGGCUAUCACAGAAGCUAGAAAAGAAAUGAUUUGGCUAUAGAGUUUGUUAGCAAAGUUAGGAUUCAAAUAAGAUAUGAAUGUUUUGCAUAGUAAUGGCCAAAGUGCAAUACAUUUGGCUAAGUAUUCAACAUUUCAUUCAAGAACUAAUUAUAUUACACUUCAUUAUCACUCCAUCAGGUUUUUGCUUGAAGAUAGGGUGUUAACAUUUGUGAAGAUACAAGGUAGCAAGAAUCCGGUUAACAUGUUAACUAAAAUAGUGAUAAUAGAAAAAUUGGAGUUGUGUGCAACUUCAAUUGGUCAAUAAUGAGAAUAGGUUGUUUGAGUGCACCCUCAUACCCAUUAAUCAUUGAAAGAGAAUGUUUACUUGUGUUUUAGUCUUCAAGUGGAAGAUUGUUGGAUUGUGAAGCUUGAAUCAGUUUUAUUAUGCCCCGAUCAACUUGUAGGGAUUGAAGGGCGCAAUGCUCUAUGGAGAAUUUAUUUAUUUAUUUUUAUGUAAUGAUUGACAGGUUUAAUCUUAUUAUAUAUUUUAACCCUUUUAUGUUUUAAGGUUUUGUUUUUUAAUGUGUAGUUGCAAUUGAGAGGUUUUUUGAGAGCUUUGCUAUUCCACUCCUUCUCAUCCCUUUUAUAGUGAAUUGUUGUAUGUUGGUGUACUCCAUUGAUGUAGGGAUCAAAUUGAUCGUAAAACCAUUUUUUUUUUUUUUUUGUUUCUAUUUAUACAUGAGUGUGUGCGUGAUUUGGUUAACAUCAGUUAUCUUAAUAAUUCUAUUCCUGGAAUAGGAAGAAAAUGAUGAUUCCAUUAAUGUAGCAUGCAUUGCUGCUUAUUUAUCAAGCAAAUUACAUUAUUAUUACACCAAACCUCCAAAUUCACCACGUACGUAUCGUAUAUACCGCAUGAUAAGAUUUAGAGAGGUAAAACAAGCGCUUAUUGUUUACGGAUAGAUAAUGUCCCACCGACCUUUUACUCUGAUACCUUGAAAUGAGAAAUUUGGAGGUUUUCCACACCAAGCUUCUUGAGAUUACCGCGCUUUCUCGUAGCGAAGAACUUUCCCCAGUUGUAUGCUCUAUACUUUGGUUUUUCCCCCUUCGUCAGCUCCUCCAAGGGCUGCACCCAAAGAUGGUGCGCGGGAUUGAAAAAGAACGGAAUCGAGAACCUUUCCCUCUCUGAAUUCAGUAUCACUCUGUGCUCCACACUCUCAUAAGUUUCGUUGCUCCAAACCUGGUUUAAUAUCAGUAUAAUUAGCCAAAUAGGUGCAAAAUUCGGUGAGCGAAAUAACUGAUAAGCAGGUGCUUAUAAUUCAAAGUUCUUGGGUGGUACCUGAAUUAUAUCCCCAACAUUGAUGAUUUAAGCAUCUGGGGUGGGCUUCACUCGAACCCAUUCUCCGUCGGUUUUUCGCUUUACUUCCAACCCUCCGACAUCAUCCUGGGCAAGGAUGGUUAAGGCUCCGGCAUCCUUGUGGUGACCAACGCCCAGAGCUAGGUGAGGGACAGGGCAAGGUGGGUAGUGAUUGAAGCGGACGAAGCUCGUUGAUUCUUCAAAGAAAAGAUUGAAUCUGUUUUCUGGCAAACCUAAGCUCAGAGAGAUGAGUCCCAUCAGCUUGAAAGCUAGUUUUUCCGUUUCUCUCGCAUAUUCUUCACAGACCUCCCUGUAUAAAUCAGUUCAAUUAGAACAAAACAAACUAAGUAAUUUACUGUAGUGACUGUGCCUUAGCUGGUGAAAUUUGUACCUUAAUUCAGGAGGGUACUGAGGCCACCGAUUGGUCAGCUCUAUGAGCUCCUUGUCCUCAGGAUCAUCCGAAGCAGGGCCGAAGGCGGGGGUUCUCACCACGAAAUCAAAGACUUCUUUCCAGUCCCUAACGUUCUUGGUAUGCUCAGUAUCAAAGUACCCAAAAGGAUUCACCUCAUCUCUACUCACCUUCCUCUUCUCCUCCACUGGCAGAGCGAAGAACGUCCUCGCGGCAUCCCAAAUUUUCCGGCGAGACUCCAAGGGCACCCCAUGGUUGAUGACUUGAAAAAAGCCCCAGUUCUUGCAUGCAUCAGCUAUUUGAGAAACAUGAUUGGAAGCAUUGGCGGAAGAGAGAUCAAUGAGGGGGAUGCCUUCAGCUUCGAUAACAGCGAGCUUAGGCCUAUGUUGGGCGUCUUGGAUGAAGGCUGGAUUGACCUCUCCCAUGGCUGUGGUAGUGAUUAGAACUUAGAAAUGGCAAUUAUGCUCUGGUAGCUGCAGGUGAAGAUGGUUACAGGACUUGGGCAACUCGGCAGGUGGUUUUUAUAGCAUAAUAGGGGUGUUGGUUUAAUACCUUGAACCUGGACAUAAUAUGGGUUACGUGUUAAGUUUUAGUUCGGGGUGUGAGCUCAUGGGUUGCGCAUAUGUUAAUGAGAUUUGGUCAAGUGAUACCUAGCUAUUUCCACGGCACCCUCAAUAUUCAAAUAUUUCAUCCGUACUCGAUUUGGAAGGUUGAUUAGUAAAUCUGAUGGUGUAAUGUCUAUUUUUGAAUUCAAUGCUAUAUAUUUAACGGUGAAGAUAAGAAAAAUAGAAGAGUUGAUAACGUUGAAGAAAAAAUGCCAAAGUUUUAAGAAGGUAGAGUUUUGAUGAGAAAUAGGUAAAAUUAAAAUUGCAUUAUAAUAAUAUAAAUUAAUUAAAUCGGUAAUCACCCAUUUAAUCUCAUUCUUAUCCACAAUUGUUGAUAGUUGAUCCUACAAAAUUCUAAAAAAAUCUUCCACAAAGACAAAUCACAAGAUGUUCAAUAACAUAUAUGCUUUUGCACCAAAAAUUGUAUAAGGGAAAAAAAAAUGAUGCACAAAAAAAAAAAAAAAAAAAUUCUAUAUCUAAUAUUAUUUCAUAGGAAAACUAACUAUAAUAAAUUUUAAAAGCAAAGAGCGUUUUACCAUAUCUAAAUAAUAGAUUAUUAAAUUCUUUAUUUUUCAAUUGGAUAUUUUUUUUUAAAUUAGAAACAUCUAUAUAAAAAUAAAAAUCACUUUAAAAAAAUUUUAAAUUUAAGAUAAUAAAUUUUUUAUAAUAUUUUAAUUCUUUUAAAUAAUUUUUAAAAUUAUUAUUUUUUCAAUAUAAAAUUUUAAGAGUUUUUGUAUUUUAUAUAUAAGUUACUAAUAUUCUCUUAUUUUAAACAUAGAAAAUAAAAAAUGUAACCAAAUGAAUUAGAAAAUAAAAAAGUUGAAUAAAAAUAGUCUAACCAUCUUAAACCUAAUAAUGUUUGACAGAAAACACUUAAAUAUACCUUGUAAUUUUCCUCACUGGUCAGCUCCUCCGAAGGCUUCACAUUCACAUGGUGCGCCAGUAAGAAGAAGAAUGGAAUCGAAACCCUUUCCUUCUUGUGUCGACCCACACUGAGAGCGAGCUCCAGCCACGAGCACGAUGGAUGGUGAUUGAGUCGGAUGAAGCAUUAGCCUUCAAAGAAUUCAUUCAACCGAUCCCCCACCAAGCCUAAGCUUAAGGAGAUGAGUUCCAAGAACUUGUAAGCUAAUUUUUCUAUUUCUCUAAUAUAGUUUUUCCAAAUUUUCCUGAAAAUAAAUCAUUAUAUAAAAUAUAUCAAUACUCAAAAUAAAUUUAAUAAAAUCUUGUCUUGCCUUUAUGUCUCUAGUUGAGUCUGUUUGGCUUCAAGCUGUGCAUUUAUGUCUCCGGUUGAGUUUGUUAGGCUUUGAGUCGCACCUUUACACCUCUAGUUGAAUAUGUUCGACUUUGAGCCAUGCCUUUACGUUUUGAGUUGAGUCUAUUCGGCUUUGAGCCACGCCUUUACAUUUUAGUUGAAUCUGUUCGAUUUCAAGCCGUGCAUUUACAUCUAUAAUUGAGUCUAUUCAGCUUCAAAUUGCAUCUUCACAUUUUUUGUUGAAUCUGUUCAGCUUCAAGCCACUCCUUUAUGUCUCUAAUUAAAUUUGUUUGGCUUUAAGUUUCACCUUUAUGCCUUUAAUUGAGUUUGUUCGGCUUUUAGUUGCGCUUUUACGUUUUGAGUUGAGACUAUUUGGCAUCGAGUUGCAACUUUAUGUUUCAAGUUGAAUUUGUUUAGCUUCAAAUCGUGCCUUUACAUCUCUAGUUGAGUUUGUUCGACUUCAAGUCAUGCCUUUAAGUCUCUAGUUGAGUUUUUUUAGCUUUGAGCUGCGCCUCUACAUCUCUAGUUGAAUUUGUUUGGCUUCGUAUCACAUCUUAUGUUUCGAAUUGAGUUUAUUCGACUUCGAGUUGUGCCUUUAUGUUUCUAGUUGAGUCUAUUCAGCUUCAAGCUGCACCUUUACUUUUUGAAUUGAGUUUGUUCGGCUAUGAGCAAUGCUUUUACAUUUCAAGUUAAGUCUGUUUGGCUUUGAGUUAAGCCUUUACGUCUCUAGUUAAGUCUAUUCAACUUCGAGCCGCAUCUUUCAUUUUUGAGUUGAGUGUGUUUGGCUUUGAACCACACCUCUAUGUUUCAAAUUAAGUCUAUUCAUCUUCAAGUCGCACUUUUAUGUCUUUAGUUAAGUUUGUUCAGCUUCGAGCAAUGCCUUUAGGUUUGAAGUUGAGCCUAUUUGACUUCAAGCCACACCUUUACAUCUCUAGUAGAGUUUGUUUGGCUUCAAGCUAUGCCUUUUUGUUUCGAGUUUAGUCUGUUCAGUUUUGAGCCAUGCCCUUACGUUUCAAGUUAAGCCUAUCCGGCUUCAAGUCGCGUCUUUACAUUUUGAGUUAAGACUAUUCGACUUCAAGCUAUGUCUUUACAUCUUUAGUUGAGUUUGUUCAACUUCAAGCUACGCCUUUACGUUUUGAGUUAAGUCUAUUCGGUUUCAAGUUGUGUCUUUAUGUUUUGAGUUGAGUCUGUUUGGCUUUAAGUCACACUUUUACGUUUUGAGUUGAGUCUCUUCAACUUUGAACUACACCUUUAUAUAUCCAGUUGAGUCUGUUCGAAUUUGAGUCACACCUUUGAGUUUUGAGUUUAGUCUGUUCGGCUUUGAGCCACACUUUUACAUCUCUUGUUGAGUCAUAUUUAGCUUCAUUCUACGCCUUUACAUUUCCAAUUGAGUUUAUUUAGCUUUGAGUUGUGCCUAUGUUUUAAAGUUUGUUCAAUUUCGAGCCACAUCUUUAGCCUUAUUAAGUUUGUUCAAGUUUAGUUGUGCCCUCACCCAUAUCCUUAGUUUUAAGUUUAUUCAGCUUCAAGCCAUGCGUUUGUCCUUGUUAAGUAAGUUCGGCUUCGAGCCACGUCUUAGUUUUGAAGUUGUUUAUCCUUGAGCCACACCUUCCUUUCUUUUUUAGUUCACUUAGGGUUUUCUCCUUCCUCGAGUUUAUUAGUGCAUUCGAGUUCAUUUUUCUUUAAGUUGAUCACUCUUUAUCUUUGUUGUCCUUGAAUUGUUCAUUGUGUCACAAUUCAGUGUUUUUCAUUGCAUAUAUACUCCCCACAUUGUCUAUAUUUUAUCCUGAUGAGUUUCUUUCCCAAUACGUGACCUCGAUCUUUGAGUUUAGCAUGCCAUGUGCUAAGACAAUUUCGAGUGCUCUUUUGUUCUUCAAUGCAAUUCACUUCAUACCAUUCAUCACUCAUGUUUCACUGUUUGUGUUCAUUUCAUUCGUGAUCUACAUCGGAGAGAGACAUAUUUGUUGGCCCUUUACUUUGUCCUAUAAUACAUAUUUUCACAUUUUUUUAUUUUCCUCUUGCCCCAUACUCAUUUUUGGUGCUCGUUUUGGAUCCUUCUUGUUUGAUCAUUCAUGGUCCCUUAUUGGUCCACGUUUACUUGACUCAUUAUUCAUUUUUUAGUCGCAUUUUAGAGGCCAUGUAGGAGGAAUUUUGAGUACAUGCAAGCUUAUUUUUUAGAGACCCUUAGUAGUUGGCUCAUAUGAGGACACGCCUCCUCACACUACUACAAAAAUCAUUUAUGGUGUCACUAUUUAUAGUGACACUUUUAAAAUAAUGACACCAUAUAGCUUAAAAUCCACAAAGGUGACACAUCAUAUAAAAAUUUUCAAUUAGGAUCAAUGAUAUUAAUUUUAGGUUUAUAAUGUCAGUUGCCAAAAAAUGACACCAUAUAAAAUAUUUUUUUUCUAAAUAUUAUAACUCAAUUGGCCCACUUUGAGAAUAAUGAUAGUAUAUAAAAAAAUCAUUGUUUCCACAUACCCACAAUCCAAAAAAAUUUCAUUCCAUAACCCUAACCAAAAUUUUUUUCUACCUCUUCUCACACCCAUAGUUAACACACAACUGUUCUUCUCUGCUUUGUGGACUCUCAGGUAACCCAAAAUCUCUUAGAUCUAUCAUUUUCAUUUAUUUUUUUAUUAAUGUCAAAAUCUUUAUGAACACAAUUGAUUUAUGUUUAUUGAUUUAAUAUAUUUGUAAUAUGGAUUGUGUAAAUAGUGUUUUUUUAUUGAGUUGUAGGAAAGUAAAAACUAGGUUUAACAUUCCACCAUAUCUUCUGGUUCAUUGUUAAACCCAUAAACCCCAAAAUGAAUGAAAAUAAGAAAAAUGAAUUAUUUUUAAAUAUCUUUUAUACUCAAGAUAAUAUAUAAACAUUUUACAAUACAAAAUUUUUUUUUGAUCUUGUAGGAAAUUUCCUUUGAUAGGAUUUUCUGUUUGUUUUCAAGGAAUAUUGUAGUAUAUUGUGAUGAAGAUAUUGAUUGGUGUUAUUUGAAAAAUAAUUUUUUAGAAAAUUAUUCUCAAUAUUAUCAUCUCCCACAAAAUGAAAAAUGAAAUAGUUUUCAUAUCAUAUUGGAGUCGGUUUGGAAUGUUGGAAUUAACAAUGAGAAAUUAAUUUUAUUUUUUAUUUAUUAAUGUAAAUGAAUUGUUUUUUUUUUAAAUUUAAAUAGGAAUGAAAAUUUUUAUAAUUAUAAAAAUGAUCAAAUAUUAUAUUUUGAUUUUUUUUUCUAUUCUUUUACAUGGUAUUAUGGUUAAUAUCUCAUCUUGUUCUAUAUAUAUUUUUUAUAUUCUUAAAAUAUGUUUUUUGCUUUUUGUUUUUACUUUCUUUUCUUAUUGUUUUUAUAUGUGUUGACCAAAAUUUAGAGUAAUUUGAGAUUGGCGAUAAAAUUUUCCUUUCAAGGUUAGAAAAUUUCUAUAAAAUCAUUUUAUUACAUAAUUUUUUCAAUUCCUUCCAUAAAACUCUUCCUUUUUCCUUUUUUAAGAAGAUGUUUGAUAAUUUUCUUUUGAUUUCUAUGAAAUUUCCUUUUAUUGGACUGUUUGUUUAUUUUCUAAGAAUAUUAUAGUAUGUUAUGAUGAGGAUAUUGGUUGGUGAUAUUUGAAAAUUAAUUUUUGAGAAAAUUAUUCUCAAUAUUGUCAUCUGCCACAAAAGGAUUUUAAAAGUAUGUUUUAUUUUUGCCUUCUUUUCUUAUUGUUUUUAUAUGCAUUGACCAAACUUUGGAGUAAUUUGAGAUUGAUGAUGAAAUUUUCCUUUCAAGGCUAGGAAAUUUCUAUAAAAUCCUUUUAUUACAAUUUUUUUUUUUUUCCUAUUCCUUCCAUAAAACUCUUCCUUUUCUUCAUUUUUCUUUUUUGAUGUUUGAUAAUUUAUUGAUCUAAAGAAUAUUAAAAGUAAAAAAUUUAAAAUAUUGAAUAUUUUUUCCUUUGAUGUUGUUAUUUUAUUAUUAUUUUUAUUUGAACAUAUUUUUCAUAUCCAAAUUUUCUAUUAAUUAUUUUACUUUUAAAAAAAAUAUCAAUUGAAGUUAUGACUGAAAAAUCAAUAAUUUUUAUGAAAGGUUCUUUAAUUCUUUCUCAUACUAAUUUUUCUCUUAACAUUUCUUAAUAGUGAAUUAGGUUUUUUUGUUUUAUAUACACAAUUUUCAUGCUUGUUAUAAUAUCAUGUCCUAUCAUAUUAGUAGUUGAAAACAUUUUUAUAUUUUGUUACUAAAAUUUUAUUUUAUAUAAUUUACAUGAAUUUUAAUGGACAUUGUUAUUUCACAAAAUGAACAUUAAAAAAAAUAUUGAAAUUAAGAAAAUCCUUCCAAGAAAUAAAAAAAUAUAAAAAGAAUUGGAUGUUAAAAAUGAUUUUUAAAAGCAUUAUGAAUUAUAAAAAAUAAAUUUAAAAGAUUAGUAUUUUCUAAAAUUUUAGAUUUAUAUUUUGAUUUUGUAGUUUUGAUUUAUUUCAUAUUUUCUUGAAUUGUUUUUAUUUGAGUUCAAAUGUGACUACUUUGUUAUGAGAUUCAUUAAAAGGAUAAUUGUUGAUUCUACAGUUAUUGCAUUAAAGGUUUUACUCAUUUAAUGAAUUGUACAUAGUUUCAUACUUCUAAUUAUUGUGAUAUUAAUGUUAUUUUCAUUUGAUUUUAGUUUGAUGACAAAAAACAUAUUCUCAAGUAGACUUUGAUGAAAUAAGAGGAGAAUGGAUUGCUUUUGUGUUAUAACUAAUCAUGAAUCAUGUUGAUGUAUCGUGAUCAUGCAUGGUGAGUCCCUUAGUUGUUAUAUAAAUUUUCCAUUGGUAUUGUAUAACAUUACUUAUUCUUUAUGAACUAUUUUUAUAUCAAAAUAGGAAAAAGAAAAAAGGAAACAUUAGUACUUAGAUUUGUUUAUUUUUUUAUAACAUCACUAUGGACCCCGCAUUUUCGGCUCGAUGCGUUUCCCACUCGAUGGCGAGCUCGAUUUUUAAUUUUGAAAAAUGAUUUUUAUUCAUUAAAAAUGACUUGGAGUCGCCACUUAUUUUUGUUUUAUUUUUAAAGGGUAAACAAAAUAAGAAAAAAAAACCCUAAGUGUGACUCCUUAUUUUAGAAAAGGCGAUCUACGAAAAAACCGGAUUGGGCUCGGGGGUUAGGUUACUUAUCGGGAAGGUACGGUAAAGACCGUAGCACCCCUCUAAGUCCCUAAAAUCGGGUCUUUACUAAUAGAAUGAAGCUGACGUGGCAGUCAACAAGAAAAUCGAUGAAUAGUCAAAUCAAUCAUGCACAAUAUGAGAAGCAAAACAUGUAUAAAGAAUGAGCGAAAUAUGAAUAGAUGCGUACCUGGACGGCAAUCACGAACGCGCUAUCAUGAAACAUGGUUAGUGAACAAUGAACAGAUAUAAUUAAGCGCAUAUCAAGGAAUAGAGUAAAUCAAUCAUGCAUAGCAAAUAAAUAAAUCAAUUAGUUAAUCGAUUAUAAAUCACAUAUGUGGGGCCCCACCAAAGUCCAUUUAUUUUGCAUGAUUUAAUUCCAAUAACUCCAUUACUUGGAAUUACGGAAAUGAAUUCUUGCUUAUUUUAAAACGUUUUAAAACGAAGGAGAUGUGGAAAUUAUUUGCUAGAAGGAAAGAUGACAACAAAAUUUUAUUGGAAAUGAGAUUUUUGAGUGAUCCUAAAAAUUCUAAAGAUGAAAAUUUGAAAAAUAAAUAAAUAAAUAAGAAUAAAAUAAAAUUAUUUGAAAAUCUAGAAAUUGGAAACUAUUUGAAAACGGGAAAUUUGGAAAUUAAUUUAAAAUUGAAGAUAAAGAAAUAAAUAGAUAAAUAAAAAAAUAAAUAAAGGACACGUGACUCAAAAUGUGGUCAUGCAUAGUUGCUUGUAAAUUGGACAGCCAGUUGCUUCUCAUACUCUCAGCGUCAAGAUGUUCCUUGAUGUAGUUGCCCCAUGUGUCAUCCUUAGCCGUGAUAAUGCAUGUGUUUUCAUCCCAAUUAAAGUCACUUUGAUCAAGAAGUGCCUUGAUAGUGACAUAUUGCAUCCUCAAGACAUCAUACCGAUUCCUCAGUUGGUCCUUAUCCAUGGAUUCCCGCGAAAUAAAUCUGUUACCAGAACAUUGUAACCAUUGCAUGCAACGCGAUAUGCGGAGUCCCUUGUGGAUGAAUUUUCGAAGCCAAAGGCAUCAAACAAGAGCAGUAUCCCUGCCAACUGCGUGUUCAUCCAGCCGCUCAAUCACGCCACUAACAUGGGCACAGCGGAAAGCAUCAACACAACCUUAAUUCCUCUCUUGUAGCUGUUUAGCAGAUCCAAGUCUGUACAAGACUUGAUCUAUGGCAACGUCAUGAGGAUAUAGCCGCGGGGUAGCAUAUGAAUCCAAUCAAUGGGAAAUGGGCAUUAGGAAUGGUGGUCAGGCUUUGCAUGAUUUCAUACACGUGAAUGAGUGAUGCUGGGACCUUCAUGGAGGCUUUGAGUGGAUCUUUGGGCGGCGGUGUAGAAAGAGAAAGGUAGCAGGAAGAAAAGAAUGGGUGUGGGCUUGGUGGUAUGAAACGUGUGGUGUUAAAGAGGAAUGUGGCGUACAUGAGGAAAGACAUGGUGAGUGGAAUGAGCUAUGGGCAUGAGAGAAAUAGAGAAAAUGGGUAUGAAGGUUAAUGAGAGAGAACGGGCGUGUGAGGGUGGUAAAGGAAAAUGGAUGAUGGAUGCACAUAGGUGGAAAUGGGAAUGGAUUUGAUAAAGCAUGAAGGUAGGAAUGGGAUUCGGGUGAUAUUAGAUUACCAUGCAUGGAGAAUGUAUACGUGGAGGUCUAUUAUGCAAAGGAACUAAAAACGGGUCAAGUGAAGGGCUGUUUAGGGAAUAUGGCAUCAGUUUCAGGUUGAGGGGAUGGGGCCCUUGGGCCAUUUGGCUACCCACAAGUAUGAUCUACAAAAUAGGGUCCUUAUGUCAGGGUCAACUUUCGGAUUUUUGCAAAGCUGAUGCUACCAAUUUAAACUCUGAUCAAUCAGUGUCCGCGAUCUUGAGUCCUUCAAGCUGAUGCAACGCGUCUUUAGGAAGGUAGAGCCUCCAAUGAAUACUUUAGAUUUCGAUUUUUGAACAAUCAUGGCAGAACCCUUCAUCGAUUGGCAUUAUCAUUACCCUGGGAUUGCAGCAAGAUGCAUGGAAGGCUUCUUCACUAUUAUCACAAAUGAGCAUAUACAAUAUAUUUUCUGAAUGACCACACGAUUUACAUGGUUGGGAUGAGUUGCUAUUCCCACUAACUCCCAGAACUUCAAGAAGCUCCUGACUCCUCAGUAUAGAAAUGCGUGUAAUCAUUACCCUCUUGUUUGGCAUGACCUGUGCAUACCCAAGAAUGACACCUACUAACCAACCAAUUGAUCCUUAUUGCAUUUAGAACUCAUCUGCAUCCCCUAGUCAAUUUCAGUUUCUGACAGUUAAACCAAAAAUCCCCAGUCUCAGCAAUGACAGUAGUCUCACUUGACAACAUUUUCUGUAUAUGCUGGAACAGAACAUAAACCCUCAAAGGCUCCUCGGGAUCAGACGUAGGAGACUGUCCCUCAGGAACGUAAACUCUAUGGUAGAACUCAUAGGCAGUGAUAUUGCAUUCGAGCCUCUUGGAGAAUGACUUGAAGAAAUCUUUCAUCAAAAUGCACCCAAGCUCAAGCCCAUAAGCACACCAAACACCAUUAUUGGGUUCGUUACAUCACCAUGCUACGGAGUUUAUACAACAGGAAGCUCUAACUGAUGAUGGUUCUGGUAGUGAUUUGCCAAUGGGAACUUGGCCAUCAAGUGAACCCGAUAUCAGAAGCUGAAGUUAUUACCUUGUACUCUUCUAUUCCCCCAUUAUCAGCAAUUCCAAUGGAAACAGUAGGAGAGCCUCAAGACUGUGUAUCCAUUCAAUAACUCUGUUUCUCAGUCAGGAUGCAAAAAACUCCCCAAUGAUUCUACAGCUGCAACCACAGGAGCCCCACUACUACCAGUUCCUUCACCCAUUCUGACAGCAACCAAAACCAGACCAAUGACUUGAACUUUAGACUUCCCCAAUCCAUUAAAUCCAGAAACCACUUGGAGUUAGAAACAUUUUCUACCUCAUCCUAGAACUUUCAGGUAUUUUACAAAGUAAUGGUCGGUAUUUUUCAAAAGCAAAAAGAAAAAAAGGUAAGACUCAAGAAACAGAGCAAACUCAGAAUUCGUUAAUCAAGACUCCAUCUCAUGCUGCACUCAAUGGAUCUAAACAGGUGAGACAAGCAGGGAGCAGUGGCAUGAUUAAUCAAUCUCAAAAAUAAUCCAUAUAUCGGUUAUUGACAGGAAAAAACAAAGAAAGCAGAAAAGAACCCAAACAGAGCAAAUACAAAAACAAACUCAAAUUCAGCAAAUCAAUCCACAAUCAAGAAAAACUAACAAUGCUCAAGUAGCCUGAGAAAAAUGAUGAAGAACAGUGAUAAUGAAAAAUACCCUAAAAAAAAGAACACGAUACUUCAUACCUGUGAAACUCCUCUCCGAUGAAGCUCACCUACCAAACCAAUCUGCUCCCAUCCUUGGCACUAGAACCCCUCUCCGUAGCAGCCUAAGCUCAAGGAAAUCCCUCUCCAGACCGAUCUCUUCUUUCUUCUCAAGUUCUUUUCUCCUCCUCUCAAAAUAUCUCUCCCUGAAAAACGGCAGCCAAAACCUCCCUCUGCAGCUGGCCUGCCCCCGUAACAGAAUACCCCCCUCUAGCUUUCUCACUACCCUCAAAAGCACCCUCUCUCUCCUGCAGCUGCAAGCCUCCACUACCCCCAUGCAGCUGGCAGCCUCUACUCCUCUAACGGCCAGCAGAUUCUCCUUCUAGAAAAUUCUUUCCCUUUUCCAGGUGUCUUUCCCUGAUUGGCCCAUCAAUUCCACUAUAGUGAUUCUACAGUGACCAAUCCUAAGAAGGCACGUGGCCUUAUGAGAUUGCGACACUUGGCAAACACAGGCUGCCAAAAAGUGAGCCCCCAAAUGGGGGUCUACAAUCACAUUUUUAUUUUCAAUAAGAACUCUAAAACUCAUUAAACUAUAAAAUGCAGAUAUACACUCUUGAGAGGACAAUAUGAAGAAUAAAAAGAAAUAAGAAAGAAGCAACAAGAUUUGGAUUUUUAGAUGUGACUCUUAUGUCAUACAUUAUACGACAUAAAUGUUAUUUUAUUUGGAAUUGAGAAUUGUGGGUUUUUUUAUGCAACUCUUGUGUCAUUUGGUUAGCCGGUUUUAUGCAUAUGAAACGUAAGUAUACAUGAAUGUUGGGAUGCUUAACAUUUCUAAAUCAUGUUUUAAUGUGUAUUCACUUUUCUUUUUUAGUUUUGGUGGGUUUGAUAUACUAUGUUUUGUGAACAUUUGAUAUACAAAUAUUAGUGGAUGAUGUAAUGUAUUAUAGGUUAAUCCAUAAGCAUAAAGAAAAUAUAAGUUAAAUGUAAUAUGAUUAUUAUAUUUAUGGACAAAAUUUACACACGUUGAUCUUAUUUAUUAAUAAGCAUUACAAAAAUCUAUAGGCUAGUCAACAAAAAACAACCAUAUCUUCUAUAAUCAUUUACAAUGAAGUGACACCAUAAUUCAAAGGUGAUGCAUUUAACGUGACAUCAUAACUCAAAGGUGAUGCAUUUAAUAUGACACCUUAUAUAUCUCACAUAACUCUAUAUCAAAUUAAGCAUCACUAAAAAUAUAUGGUGUCGCUUCUAAAUGCGUCACAAUUUAUCUGUUUUGGUGUCGCUUCCAAAUACGUCACCAAUUGGUACCCUCUAUGGUAUUGGUGGAUAAGGUGACGCUAUGUUGUAGCGACACCCUAUGUUUAGGGUGACUCGUUAUAAAUGUCACCAUAUAUGUUUUUCCUUGUAGUGUCAUUGGGAAGGUUUUUUCCAUUUUUUAGAGGGGUUUUCUAAAGGCUUCUAGGGUGAGGACACUGUUCUCAUAUUGGCUUUUUUUCCCCCUUUUUAGAGGGGUCUUCUAAAGGCUUCUAAGGUCAACUAGGAGAGCAUGUUGAUUGAUGCUUUGAUAUGGAUACCAGAUGCCACAUUUCAUCUUGUUGAACACUGGUUAGCUAUGGACUUGUUACUGCUUUACUCUUCUGUUUCGAGUUAACUUUGGAAAUGAAUCUGAAUAUAGACUAGUAUUUGCAUCUUGAUGUUUAGAGAAUCAUAUUUUAGUUGUUGUUUAAAAUUCAUUUUGGCAUGUUCGAUUGCUUCAAGCUCAUUUAUACAAUAAUGAAAUGGAGAUUUAUAUAUUUGUUAUUGGGUUGGCUCUCUGUUUGGUUAUCUUUAAGUUCUGCAUCUUUUCUUUUCUCGUUGCCUUAUCUUCUCUGGGGGGUGUCGUUUGAGAAAUACAUAGUGGAAAAAAUGGGAAGCUGAAGGCUUAUCCUGGCAUCGACCUCGCGUUAGGGAACGACUUGAUCGAAGAACAUAUGAAUUUUUCAAAUACCCAGAACUCACAUCAAAAGAAGCAUCGGAGUCAAGGUCAAACACAUCAUCUGACAAGGAAUAUACCUUUGCCUUUGGUGACUUUAUUGACUUCUGCAUGAUGGACAUCCGAGGGUGGGGACUGGAAGAGAAAUGAUGAAUUUGCCCAAGAUAGUUUGUCUAGAAAGGAACUUGUAUUAAAUGAUGAUUACCCACUAUGUCAGAUGUUGAAAUUUGGGUAUGACAACUCCUGGUGGCAUCAGAAAGAUGAGUUGCACAAUCCUUCUCACAGUUGAAAGCUUGACCUCCGAAGUUGGGCUUUUUCAUGGCCAGACAAGAACAGUGAUCACAAUAGUAUGAGCCAAGCCUGUCACGACCCAAAUUCUAGGUGAACUUAACCAUGACUCCAAAUCAAAGGUUUAAACUUAAAGGUUACAUCUAUUCAAUCUAGUAGUCAAUCCUGAUAACUUGAUUUUUUUUUCUUGAUAAAACAAUAUCUAAUCCCAAAUCAAUUUAUUAAGCUAAUAACUUGAUUUUUUUUCUCAAUAAAACAACAUCUAGUCCCAAAUUAAUUUAUUAAGCUAAGAUUUACUAUAUCAUAUUAUUUGAUUUUAUUUUUCAAAAAUCAACCAUUACACUAUCACUUAUUUGCAAGUAUAAUAAAUCUGUCAAACAUCUUAUCACCCAAAAUGAUAACCCAAAUAUUUACAAAAAAAAGUUUUACAAAUUAAUAAAAUAUAGUCUAAGUUAUAAAAGUUCUUAUAAAUUAAAUUAGUAUGUGCUAAAAUAUAAGAUAACUGAAAAAAAAAAAAAAAAAAAAAAAACCAUUAUUAUUAUGGUUCCUUAAAAACUAUAUUUGCAUCUAAAAAUUUUAGAAAAUAAAGGGAUGGACAUUUCCACAUUACUUAGUAAGGUAUUUUACACCCACACAAAUUAGAAAUUCUAAGUCAAUAAAACACAAUCAUAUAUCAAAGUGUAAUUUUACAUCUAAUGUACUACAACUAUAUACAUUUAAACUAAUCAAAAUUAUCACUAACCAUAAUCAGACUCCAAAUAAUACAAAUAACAUUUAUUAUCUCCCAAAAACAUAAUGUGUAAUUUUGUUUCCAAAGAAAAAUAUAAAAUAAAAGUUUUAGGGUUAAACCACCCUACAUCAAAUUUGAAAAUCUAAUUGUUAAAACUAAAAUCAGACUCCGUAAAAAUGUUCUUUAUGUUAAAUAGAGUGUUUUGCUAAAAUCUCAUGCAAAACAGAAUUCAUUUGGCUUGUCGGAUGACAACCCAAAUAUUUGUUGCACCUUCCUUGUUUCUUCUCUUCCUUUGUGUUUCCGUUUGCACUCUUCUCUCUACGGAUCUGGUAAAUAGGGUAGCCCCUGGUACGCUUGGGGCUGGAUUGAAUCCUAUUCGAACUAUAUCUAACUUGAUCUUGUCCAAGCUAGGAAGGUUUUUGGUCUCGAUGACAUUGGAAGUUUCAUCAUUGCUAAAGAAAGGGGCGGCCAAAAAGGCUUAGCGACGACCCUCUCUCGACUUAAAGGAAACGACUUGUCCCAUCCAAUGCCCUACUUUUAAGUGCUCGGUAUGUUCACUUAAUCAAAUCUAGAAGAAGCUUGGCCUCUGUAGAGCAUGAAAAGGCUAGUUUUGAAGCUUUUAAUCGAGGACUUAUUUGCCCUAAAGCCUGACUUCUUAGGAAGAGAAAUGGGCUUGACUUCUUCAUCAACCUCGGAAUCGCAUUCUAUCACACUGGUGGUACUUCUUGUUGAAUUAAAAGAUUGGAUGAGUCUUUUUGUACCCACCCGCCACCCCUGUUUGAGAGUGAUUAAAUAUCAUAACUUCCUUAAUGGACCUACGGACUAGCUAAGGUUUACUUACAUAGUUGUUCUUUCUUUUCUCAAUUUCAAGUUAAAGUUAGCGUUUUUCAGCUUACUGUUUGCUUUGGUUGAGUAGCCGCCUUAUGACCCUUUGCUUUUGAAUGAAAUCAUCUAGAACCUCUCAGAUCGGAUUCCAAUCACCUUAGUGAGUCUCCUAGGUGCGAAGCCAUUCUUUAAGCCCAAAACAAAAGGAGAAGUGAAGUCACUAUCUAGACAAAGGGGCUUGCCUACUUAUAAGGUAGGAGUUCACACCGGGGAAUCGCUUUCUUAAUUAAUUAAAAGCGAGCCAAACUCACCACCUCAUGUACCAAAGUCAAACGGUUGUUCUUCCUUCCCCGCUCCCUUUUUCUCUACAUAUGUGAUGGCGGGCAGAGCGCUCUAUAUGACCGGUGGUGGGUUACCAGAGAAGAUGGGACAACUUCUUUCUCUCUUGCCUUGCUCAAUCUUCCUUUUCUGAUUGAAAGUAGCAAGCCACACCACUACUGGUACAGAGGUCGGAUAGAAGGUUGCUUUUUCUAUAUGUUCAGGCGAAGAACAUCUACGGCACAGUCUUCGCCAAGCAAGAUGAUGUAACUCCUCAAAACAUAAAAAGAGCUCUUAUAUAUGUAAAAACAUGAUAUAUGUGUAAAUGAAUUAUAGCCAUUUUCAAAUAGAUCAGGAUCGUCAGAUGUUUGAAAUGGAAAGUCAAUUUUUCUAUAUGCAUGUAGAUAUCUAUAGGGGAUUAUAUGAAGGGGAUGUUAUUAUUUUAGAUAUAAUCAAUUCCCUUCUCGGAGCCCACUAAGAUCCGGAUCUCCUACGGAAAUGAUUUAGAAGAUCCAAAACCAAAAAUAGUGGUAUUUGCUAGCAACAACAUAAUGGAGGCAGUCAAUCAAUAUAUAUUGAUCUAAAAUCUGAUUCAAAUCCAAUAUAGCACCUAUGGGUACAUAAAAGAAAGGCAAGAGAGAAAAGAAGUCCAUACUUUUCAACAAAGCUUUAAGUGAGUAGGGGUGUAGCAGAUUCAUGCACGUCGAAUAUAAAUGCAGUUGGAUGAGUAGUCGCGGAUUCACAAUGCCGGUUAAAAAGCCAAUCUUAGGGUUGCAUUCACUCCCCUUCUAUAUCUUGCAUCUAUAGUAUUUUUGUCCUGGUGGAUCUCUUUAUCAUUUAAUAAAAGUUUGGAAUCUUGGGUUACUAAUUGGUGGAAUACUAGGCAAUCUAAAACUUUUUUGAAUGAUAUUCAAGAAAACAAUCAAUUUCCCAUCAUUUGCACUAUGAAUGGAAAUGAAAUUCUAGAUCUAGAAUCAGAUGAAUGUGCAACAGUCAAUUUCCUCCCUCACAACCUAAUUGUCCACUAAAAACAACCUUUUUUACUAUACGCUAUUUGGCCGCUAGAAGAACUUCAGUUCUUAUAGGUAAAUGCUCAAUACCCAAGUAGGCCUACAAAGUUGAUCAUGAUCAAGUGCUUUUUGGGUCGUCUUAGACCUUGCAAUAUCUCUCCGGCCCUCUAGCACUCUGUUAUGGCUCAAUCACUUACUCUAGUUCUGGAGUUCUAGGUCCUCUAGCUAUUAGUGCAGGUAGCUCUCCUUCUGGUAAUGCAUUAUAGGUUGUCUUCCUUCCACCUUCCUGUUUUCAAGAAAGCUUAUUUUCUUUCUAAGAAAAAUCAUACAAUCUCGUAUGAGAACGGGAUUGAUGGGAGGCAUAUGCUCCCAGGCUACACAAUGUCUUACAGGGCUUACCCAGUUAGAAGGUAUGUAACUAAAGUCUCAAGAGAAUUGAAAUCGACGAGAAAUCAGAAUCAAUGUUAGAGAUUAGACUUGGCAUGGAAAAAGGAGUAUAGUAAGAUGAUAGAGACCUCGCACGAGAUGCUUACUCGGAUUCAUGCCCAUAAAGAGUAGAAGAUUCAACACAAGUGCAAGAAUAGGUUUCACAGUUAAGAAAGGUUGAGAUUCAGGUGAGUGAGUGAGUCCUCACUGACUUGAGCGAUUUCGAUCACCUAGCAGUUUAUUUGGUAGGUAACAUCGCUAAAGCAUAUCAUCUGAUCUACAAAUGAAGGAAAUCAAAGUGAGACGACACCGUCCUCUGUAACGCAACGAUAGUUGGCCCUUUAUCAUCAACUAUUUGGUAGACUUGGUAAAAGAUGUAAGGCUUUAGCUAGUACACGAAAGUGCAUACCAUGAUUCUUCUGUCUAUCAAUAACUGCAUGCAUUGCACGAUGGAUGUGAAGAAGUAGGCCAUUAUCUCGACAAUAAUGAGCCAAGCUAGUAUUUGCAGUGAAUCCCCCUGUUAAGUAGUCACAUUAAUGGAACAAGAACACAUUAGCGUAUGAAACAGAGCUGAAAGCGCGAGUGCACAAUCUCAAAAACGGCAAAUUCACGUUCUACUUCCUCAAUCUCGAACUCUGUCUAUUGGGAUGAGCUCCCCUUACCUGCGCUAUUCUAUGAACGAACUUCCUUUAUAAACCAUAAAACUGGAACAAUCACUGUUCCAGGGUCUGUCUCAGAGUUCUAUCUCGUGCUUGACAUCAAUUGCAUCCAAACCUUUAAUCGGGUAUACUUUCCACAAUAACAAGCGAGUCAUAGUUAGGUAAAAGUUAUACAGAAAGAUGACAUCGUUGGCGAACUUGAAGCUAGUUAGGUAAAUCCCCUUAUAUUCUUCUUUCUUCUCCCAUAAGACAUUCCUUAUUAUUAUUAUUAUUAUUAUUUUCAUUUUCUCAAUUUCUUUAUCUUUUCAACUUUAAGACACCAUUUUGCACUUCUUCUUUUUUAUUAUAAUUAUUAUUCUUUAUCAACCAUACCAUGUUAAGAAAUUUAUUUAUUUUAAUCCAAAAAUCUACUUAAAUACAAUUUCAUACUUUUCUUAAUAAAUUAUAUAUAUAUAUAUAUAUAUAUAUAUAUAUAUAUAUAUAUAUAUAUAUAUAUAUAUAUAUAUAUAUUAUUUCUUAUUAUAACAAAUUUAAAAUGUCACAUGUAUCAUUUUUUUAAUAAAUCAAAUUAUUAUUCUUUAUUUCAUAUUCUACAAUUAUAAAUUAUACUCAAUAUAUGAUUUAUUGUCUUACGAAAAAUAUACUGCUAUAUUCUUAAUUAAAUUUAUUACAAGUCUACUUUUCAAAAAAAAAUUAAUUUGACUUUAAUUACUUGAAACAUUUUUAUUAUGAAAUUCAUUUAGAACAUGAUUUCAUUAAUUAUAUAUUUAAAAAAAAUCAAUUUUAGAAAAAAAUCUGAAACAUAAAAUAAUUCUUCAACAUCAAGAAGCUGAAAUUCAUAAUAAUAUUUAAUCCUUUAAUUUUACCAAUAUUUAUUUACCAAUAAAAUUUAAGCAAUAUUCUGAAAUUUAAUUCCAUUAGUUAUUUAGUCAUUCAAUUUAUAAAAUCAUAUUCUCAACCUUUGGUAUAACUUUUAUUUAAUUUACUUCAUUUGUCAAAUUUCUCAAUUGAAUCAAAAUUUCAAAAGUUAAAUUCACUAAAUUCAUAUUUAAUUAAUUUAGCCUUUUAUAUUCCCUAAAUUAAUAUAUCAUAAUUUACUCUUAAUGUAAUUUCAAUUCAAUUUUAUUUGAUGUUUUGUAAUUCUAUAAGGUUUAAUUCUAAUUAUAAAAAUUAUUGAUUUCUUAUAAAAUUAAAUUCAAUUUCUUUUUAAUUAUCCAUUAUAACAAUUUGAUAUAAUCUAAAUUUUUAUCAAGUUUUUCUUACUACAAUUCUCUAUAAUUAAAUUAAUGGUCAUAAUAUACUUAAUAUUCAAUUUUAGAGACUAUAAUAUCAAUAAUUAUUUGAUGGUUGAAUUUUUUUCCAAAUUUAAAUUUAAUUUUUGAAAUUCCUACUCUUUGCAUAUGACGUGAUGGAAUUUUUAUACUAUUGACUUUUUAUUAACUUUUUCAAAAAAUUUCUUAAUUAAAUAUUAACACGGGGAUUUUCGUCAUUCUUUUUUAACAUUUGACUAAUGAUUUUAUGAUAACUUUAAUCUGACAUGUCAUUAAAAAUCCGGUUGUUAUAGAGCCAGUCAAAUUAAGCCUGUUAUCCGAGGAGUGAAGCCACUGCCUUGUUCUAUCUCCGAUGGCCUGCUCAGCUCCUUCAACCCCCAUCGCUCUCCUCUUUCCAAGUUCUCCAUUUUCAGUUUAGAGCCAACAAGGAUCGCAGAAAUCCUUAAAGAUUGACCUACAUGGUAUCGUGAGUACCGCGAUGUGGAUGUUCUUAAUGUGUUGUCUACUAGAGCCAAAUGGGUGUUUGAUAAGACCCAGUGAAGGUGUAAAAAUUAUAUGACGAAGCUUGCAGAAAGACUUUGAGUUGAGGGAAGGCAUCUCAACGAAGUUGGGCUUUUGUAUUGUGAAUCUGGCAAAUUACCUAUACUGCAUGGAUCAUCACUCUUUUAACGUGGAGGUACACAGGUCCUUUGCAAUGUGACACUUGGGGCACCACAUCAAGCUGGUGAUGCUCAACGACUGGCUUCUCUGGACGGGUCCUCCAACAAAGCGCUUCAUGCUUCACUGAAAUUUCCCGGAGUUCUCAAUUAAUGAAGUUGGCCAACUCCUUAACCUGCACUGUUCCGCAGCAGUCACAUAAAGAUUUGACAUUGAAAUUGAUCAGGUUUUUCCUCUGCCAAUGGUGGUGGGCGCGCUUUGUAUGUAGAUUCCGAAGGAACUUCCAACUUGAUGGCUGUGAGUGGUAAGGUUGGAGAAGAUACUACUGGGUCUGCCCCAUUAGUUUUCCAUUGUUAAGGUAGUUUGGUGCACAGCUUCCUGGAUCAUCUACACCACGAGCACCUCCAGCCGCCUGUUUUGAUCAGUUUCUGGAUUUCCAUCUCCAAAUUGUGCAAGCAGUGACUGAUAUGGUGUCCAUACAAGCGGCUACUGAAAUGGUUCAAACCCCAAAUGCUGAAGGGAAAGGAGCUUUUGGAAAAUAUCAUGAAGAAGACUCACCCAUCUUACAUGAAAUUAUACACAACUCCAUGGACCAGAACCGGAACCCAGACUUAAAUUUGUCCAAGAGAAGAUCAGUGUAAUACAAGUCAACUGCAGUCAUUCCUGAAAGAAGUGAUGAGAAGAGUAAACCUGGAAAAGCAGUGAGUGAAACAAGUUUUGUGACAUUGAACAAUUUGCAGAUGGGUGUUCCCACAAGCUCCUCUCCCCUCUUCCUACGUGCAUGAAAUUCCUACGUGCAUGGCCACCUUCUUAGGUGUGCAAUUCUGCGCAUAAUUCUCAAGCGUACUAUCACCCUCUUCUUUUUUGAAAAAUUGAUUUUAAAUUUAAAAUUUUGACAAAUUCAUUUCCCUUUUAAAAUCCCUCAGUAAUUCUCUUCAAAUUAAUAAAAUCUAUUUUCAAAAAAAAUUUGCUGCCAUUUUCCUUUUGGCAUAGACCUUUUUCUAUUUUCUUUGAUUUUUAAUCAUUUUCCAAUUUUUUAAUAAAUAUGAAUAAAUUCUAUGUUUUUAAAAAUAAUGGAAUUUUGUCCAAAUUUCUAUUAUCUUUUUCUCCAUGAUCAUUAGAAAGAUGAAAUUCCUAAAAUUAAUUCAUGCAAAUAAAUUGGACAUUGGUAGGCCCAACAUAUGAAUUUUUCUCCUUUGAUUAUUGUUUUUAAUUGCUACACUUGAUUGACUAAUGAUUGAUCUCUGUCUUGCUCUAGCAUACAUGAGAUUAUUUUGUGCUUGUUAUUGUACACUAACCAUGUUUCUCACGAAGCGCUCAACUUAUUCUCAAGUACGUUCUUUCCUUUUCCUAUUCGUUUAGUUAUAACCAAUGUUUUCAAAAUCGGACCGAUCAUUGAAUUGGAAAAGUUACUGGUUCACGGUUCACUGGUCGAAUCGGCGGUCAAAUCACGGUCAAACUAGUGAUGUCAUAAAUAUAUAAUUUAUAAAUUAUUAAAAUUUAAAAUAAUUAUAAAAAUAAAAAUAAUAAUUUAUAUAUUAUUUAAAAAUUAAAAUUUUAUUUAAAAAUUAGAAAAUUAGUUUCAAAUUAGAAAUUAAAAUUAAAAUCAUAAUUUUAAUUUUAAUUUUCAAAUUUUCAAAUUCAUUUUUAAAUAAAAAAAAACUUAUUUUAAAAUCAUGAAUUUAUUUAAAAUUAUAAUAUUUUCAUUAAUUUAAAUUAAAAUCAUAAGUUUUAAACAUCAUGAAAUAAAAAAUAAUAAAUAUAAAAGAAAAUAAAUUAUACUGAAAUGAGGUAAAAAAUAAUUUAAAAAAAUGGAAAAAGAGAGGAGAGGAACAAGCAAAAAAGGGUUCCAACAGGGUUUUGGGGGGUGGGGUUUCCAUUUCUAGCGCCAGGUGGGGGCCCUUCCGGUGGGCCAAAAGGGGAAAAGCUUUUUGGCUUUUCCAGUGCAAGGGGUGCCGAUGGGGUGGGGGGUUCCAAUGGGCAAGAAGAGCUCUUCCAGCGCACGCGGGUAGGAGUGGCGACAAUGGGGAAAAAAAAAAAGUUGAACCGGAUGGUUCCAUCCGAACCGUCCGGUUAGUCGGCCGAACCACCGAUUUAACUAGUCCGACCACUUUCCAGCCCAAUUGACCAAACCAGAUUGAAACCGUGACCAGCCGAUCCAAUCCAAUUUUUAAAGCCAUAAUUAUAGCUCAACCAUAACACAUCAUUGAUCAUUACUUGGUAUUUGUUGACUUUUUGAUCAAUUGUCAUUCUUAUAUUAACUUGAUUAUUAGAGACCUAAUUUUAGGGUAUAAAGGGGUAUUACGAUUUAUCAUCCUACCUUCUCAACAAGUAACCUGACCCUUGAACCCAGACUUGGUUUUUCAUAAACCCGUAUUUUCCUUUCAAGUUUCAUACUUAGAAUUUUUUUUUUUCCAUUUAAAAAUAAAAUAAAGAUACGUGGCCUAAAACCAUUUUCAUCAAUCCAAAGUGAGUCUUGUCUUUUUUUUUUUCAAGUAAGGACACGAUCACAGGUCUACAAUACUAUUUUAAUAUAUAUAAUGAAAUAUAGAUAUUAACGCCAUCUUAAAGAUAUAAUUAAAUUUUUUGUUUAAAAUAAAUUAUAAUAAUUUAAAAAUAAUAUUUUAUUUAAAAUAAAUUUUAGAAUAAGCAAAGUUGAUAUGUGGACAUAGAGAAUCGUGAACCAUUGUAAAUGUAUUGAUUAUAUCUCUUUCUUCCCAUUUCAUUUUUACUUUAGUUUUUAUUAUUCGUAUCUUUUUCUACUAAAAUUUGAAAAAGAAAUUCACAUUCACUUCUUCUUGGGUGUAUAUCAUAGGAUUCAAAAUGUUUUUAAAAAUUAUUAAAUUUGUUAAUUGUGACUAUAUGCUUAUUUAGGAUCCAUUGAUCUUAAUAACUUUCUUCCCGAUAUAGGAAGAAAAUGACUAUUCCAUUAAUGCAGCAUGCAUUGCUGCUUAUUUAUCAAGCAAAUUACAUUAUUAUUUUCACACCAAACCUCCAAAUUCUCCAUGCAUAUACGCAUCCUAUACUGCAUGGCCAACUUCAGAGAGCUAAAACAAGCUCUUAUUGAAUACAUGAUAGAUAAUGUCCCACUGACCCUUUUACUCUGAUACCCUGAAAUGAGAAAUUUGGAGGUUUUCCACAUCAAGCUUCUUGAAAUUACUGCGCCUUCUCGUAACAAAGAACUUUCCCCAGUUGUAUGCUCUAUACUUUGGCUUUUCCCCCUUCGUCAGCUCCUCCAAGGGCUUCACCCAAACAUGGUGCCCGGGACUCAAAACGAACGGAAUCGAGAACCUUUCCCUCUCUGAAUUCACCAUCACCCUGUGCUCCACACUUUCAUAAGUAUCGUUGCUCCAGACCUGGUUUAAUAUCAGUAGAAUUAACCAAAUGAGUGAAAAAUUCCUUGAGCCAAACACUACUGAUAAGCAUGUACUUGUAAUUCAAAGUUCUUGGGUGGUACCUGAACUAUAUCCCCAACAUUGAUGAUAUAAGCAUCUGGGGUGGGCUUAACUCGAACCCAUUCUCCAUCAGUUUUUCGCUUUACUUCCAACCCUCCAACAUCAUCCUGAGCAAGGAAAGUUAAGGCUCCGGAAUCCUUGUGGCGACCAAUGCCCAGAGCUAGGUGAGGAAUGGAGCAAGGUGGGUAGUGAUUGAGGCGGAUGAAGUUUGUUGAUUCUUCAAAGAGAAGAUUGAAUCUGUUCUCUGGCAAACCUAAGCUCAGAGAGAGGAGUCCCAACAGAUUGACAGCUAGUUUUUCCAUUUCUCUAGCAUAUUCUUCACAUACCUCCCUGUAUAAAUCAGCUCAAUUAGAACAAAAAAACUUAAGUAAUUCACUGUAGUGACUGUGCCUUAGCUGGUGGAAUUUGUACCUUAAUUCAGGAGGGUACUGAGGCCACUGAUUGAUCAGCUUUUCGAGCUCCUUGUCGUCAGGAUUAGGCGAAGCAGGGAUGAAGGCGGGGGAUGACGCCACGAUAUCAAAGACUUCCUUCCAGUCCCUAACGUUCUUGGUAUGCUCAGUAUCGAAAUACCCAAAAGGAUUCACCUCAUCUCUACUCACCUUCCUCUUCUCCUCCAAUGGCAGAGCGAAGAACUUCCUCGCCGCAUCCUCAAUUUUACGACGAGACUCGGAGGGCACCCCAUGGUUGAUGACUUGAAAGAAGCCCCAGUUCUUGCACGCAUCAGCUAUUUGAGAAACAUGGUUGGAAGCAUUGGCGGAAGAGAGAUCAAUGAGGGGGAUGCCUUCAGCUUCGAUAACAGCGAGCUUAGGCCUAUGUUGGGUGUCUUGGAUGAAAGCUGGAUCGACCUCUCCCAUGGCUGUGGUAGUGGUUAGAACUUAGAACUUAGAAAUGGCGGUUAUGCACUGCUGGUGUUAGCUGCACGUGAAGAUGGUGAGGGGGACUUGGCCACUUAGCAGGUGGUUUUUGUAGUGUAGUGGGGUUGGUUUAGUACAUUGAACCUGGACAUAAUUGGGGUUACGUUUUAAGUUUUGGUUGGGGGUGUGGGCUCAUGGGUUGCGCAAAUGUCAAUGAUAAUUGGUCAAGUGAUACCAAGUUAUUUCCAAAAUCUGCAGCCGCAAAGGGUAUCUCUCUCGAUGAUUUUGGCAACGUACAGCACUCUCCACAUUCAAAUGUUUGAUCAAAGAUACGUUUUGUUUAGUGUCGUGUAUAUUUUCGAAUUAAUUACUUCAUAUUUAGGGAUACGUUUUGUUGAGUAUCGUGUAUAUUUUCGAAUUAAAAACUUCAUAUUUAGGGAAAAGUGUGCUUCAAUACGCUAAUAUAAAAAUAUCAGCAAAAUAAGAUCCUAAUUUUUCAUAUUUUAAGGUUUAUAAUGCAAUUGGAAAUUAUUUGGAGAAUUAUGCAUUUUCAGCUCAUGUGUAUUUCAAAUCCAAAAUGCUCUCCACCUUGCCAGCCAAGUCUUACACGUUGAAAGUAAAGAGAGAAAAAAUCUUCAAAAAGCCACCAAAACCAAUUUCUCUUUCUUUUUGAGUUAUUUGAUUCAAAAGAUCAAUAAAAUCCAAUUUUUAAAAUUUAACCCUUUGUUCUUUUUUUUUUCAUUUUGAUAAAAAUAUCUUUACCAUUUUCUUGUAGAAAUAACAUUUUUUUUAAACCUAUAUGUAAAUACUUGAAAUGGUAAGAGACGUGUACAUUAAAAAAAAGUUAUUUUUCAAGUAAAAAUAUAGAAAGGAUUAUUUCAUCCCUUUUAACCAAAUAUUUAACAUGAUCAAGGACUAUUCCCUAAAUGAAGGCAUACGGUAGCAAAUACCCUUAAUCUAAACAUUAAAAGUACAACUUAUCUAGUAUCAAACACUCUGUUUUAAAACCCAUAGCCACUCCAAAUAUCCCAAAUAUUCUUUUCUAUGCAACCUCUCUCUCUCUCUUUCUCGCACAAACACACUAAAAUAUUUUCUCAAACUUGGAUUUUUCUCCACAACUCAACCCUAACUUCCUUUCUAUUUGUACCAAGGCUAGAGAAUAUAGUUUAUACUUGUAUUCCUUCAUGUACCAAGCCCACAAGAUGAUCAAUAAGUUUCUCUCUAGAUUUUACAUUGGAGUUGAUUGAUGAUAGUACCCUUAUUAGGUAGUAUAUUAUCUUCCUUAGGUACUGCUUUUUCCAUCCUUAGAUACUACCUUUGUAACCUUGGGUGCAUGAUUGAAUCCAUUGUUUCAUGGCUACUUCAAGUAAGUCAGGAACUUAUGUACAUGUGUGCUACAUGUCUUAUAGAUACUAAAUUUACAUUCUUUAGGUACUACCUUUACCUUCCAUGGGUACAAAUACGGUUAAUGAUAAGAAUUUUAAUAUAAAAAAGGGAAAAACCCUGCUUGAUAAUAAAAUUGCAUAUAUUUUCUUUCUUUCUUUCCUUUUUGAUUGAUUUUUUUUUUUUUUGGUCUUUGCUUUGGUUUUUAUUUAUGUCUUUGUUUCUUUUAGUCUUUGUGUGUGUGUGUUUUAUUUUAUCUUAUUUUCAUCUCUAUGCAGAAGAUGUAGAAGAAACAACAUCACAUCAUAAGGUGCAUUUUUCCGUUCAUUUAAGACUAAAGGUUUUGGAUUCACAAAAUGGUGGGAACUAAGGGUGAGAAGCUGGAAAAAUGUUGGAUUGAGCUACAUUUGAUCAAUGGUGAAUUUGCAAAAAAGAUUGUAGGAGAGUGUAGACCCUCAAUUUUGUCCCUUUAGCACAUGUUUUAAAGUCCAUUACCAAUACUUUACAGUAAUCUCUUGGUAGCCCAUAGCUACUCACGCUACUUACCUUUCUUGAGCCACCUCGGAGACUCUAGUUGAGGGAUUGCCUAACCCCUUAUUGUGACCCUUGGCAGUUUUGAUUUAGACUUAAGGUUUUCAUUCCUUCUUAGGAUAGCUCUUAGGUGCACUUUUAGGUCCACUUAGGCAUCACCCUUGGCUAAUUUAGACAUUUUGGGCCCGUUUAGACACCUUAAACUCGCCUAGAUUCACCUUAGACCCGCUUAAGCACUUCAUUGGGGCUCAACAUUUUUAUAUAAUCUCUUGAUCAUUAUUGCAUGCAUUUGAUGAUUAUAUUUUCUUUGUUUAUUCAUUUAUUUGUUUGUUUAUUUAUUCAUCCAUUUAUUUAUUCAUUUUUUAAUUUCUAUUACGUCUUGUUUUUUUUUUUCUUUCUUUCUUUCAUUUAUUUACCUACUUAAUAGAGAAUUGUUUAGAUAUUAAAUAUGCAUACAACCCCCUUAUUGAAUGAUGGAAUUGUACAAUCUGAUAUCUCAUUUUCUCUUUCAUUUUCUUUUAAUCGUAUUUCACUUUAUUACCAAUUUCAUGACUUUCAUUAGUUGCUUCUCUUUUCCUUUGAUUUUUUAAUCUUAUCUUAUUUUGUUUUGCAUAAGGAGCACCAUCUUGGGGAGUACAAGAGGAUCUACAUUACUGGUUUGAUCAACAUAUGUUUGAGACUAAAAGCCUUCAAGAUGGCAAAAGAUGGUCAUCACAGCCCCAUGCUUCUUCUUCCCAUCUCUCAUAAUUGAAGCCUCUGUACAAAACUUCAUCAUAUCCUGAACAAUAGCAGCCACAGCAGUUGCAGCCACAGCAGCUGCAGCCACAGCAACUGCAGCCACAACAGCUGCAGCCACAGCAGCUGCAGCGACAGCGGCAACCACAGUUAAUGCUGCAACAGCAGCCACAGCAGCAUAGACUGCAUCAUCCAGUUCAACCUUCAUUUGGUCAUUUAUCAGGGUUGCAGCCCCAACUAUUUAAUCCCCAUCUUUCCCCAGCUCCACUCAUCAUGAACAAAUAUGAAGCAAUGCUUGGGAUAGGUAAUCUGAGGGAUCAAAGACCCAAGUCAAUGCAAAAAGGUAGACCAAAUCAUCGGGUUUCUCAACAGGGCUUGGAUACUAGCAGUCGGAAGAGUGAUGUUGGUGGCCACAGUUCAGAUCCAAGUAUAUGACAGCUGAUGAAAUCGAAAGUAUCCUUAGAAUGCAACGUUGCGGAACAGAUGGAUGAGUAGAAAGGAAAAUAGCAUGAAAAUAGAAAGGAAGUGACCACUUUGUGCACAACACGCAUAUAGUGGGCUGUAAGGGGGAUUCUUUUUUGUUUAGAAAGAAAAGUCAACUUGUAUCACUUACUAAACGAGAUGUGGCUGCAUCCUUGAGGGAAUCUCCCAAUGAGCCACCAUGUAUGCACUUUCCUUAUCCAUGUGCAUUGAAAAAGGAUAUAGAAUAUUCAAUAGAGGAAAGGUGCUGCCAUAUAGAAGGAAGGUGCUGCCAUAUAAACAUGUCACAGAGAGAACACACGGUGGACUUUUCUUUUGGGAGCAGAAAUUCACAUACAAAAAGUAAUCUUUUUUAGAGGAGAUGAACACACGCAAGAGUUUUUUUUUGGGAGCGGUAGAGGACCUGAACGACUAAUUGGGCUGCCAUUUUGACACAUCAAGAAAGUAUUUUUCCAAUACAAUACAGGUUAGUUUUCGAUUUUUGAUACCGUAUUUCCUUUUUUUUUUAGUUUGGGUUUUAGUUGUUUGGUUUAAUUAAUUGUUUGUGAUAAAUUCUUUUAAAUCUCGAUUUCGAACAAUCUUUUAUUUUUCUUAUAUUAAAUGUCUAUCUUUUAUGAUUGCAAUUCAUUAGUUCUAUGCUAGUUUAUUUUUAAUUUACAUGAAAGUUUAAAUAAAGUUUAUAUUUUUAAUUCCAAUUAGUUUAUUUUUAAAUUUGAAUGAGUUAUCGAUCUUAAUUAUUUAGUUUAAUUGACCUUGUGAGAUAAAAUUUAUAUUUUUAAUUCUAAUUAGUUUAAUUUUAGUUUAUUUUUAAUUUGAAUGAGUUAUCGAUCUUAAUUCUUUAGUUUAAUCGACCUUGUGAGAUAAAAUUUAUAUUUUUAAUUCCAAUUAGUUUAAUUUUAGUUUAUUUUUAAUUUGAAUGAGUUAUCGAUUUUAAUUCUUUGGUUUAAUUGUCCUUGUGAGAUAAAAUUUAUAUUUUUAAUUCCAAUUAGUUUAAUUUUAGUUUAUUUUUAAUUUGAAUGAGUUAUUGAUCUUAAAUCUAUUAGUUUAAUUGGACUUGUAAGGUAAAGUUUAUAUUUUUAAUUCCGAUUAGUUUAAUUUUAGUUUAUUUUUAAUUUGAAUGAGUUAUUGAUCUUAAAUCUAUUAGUUUAAUUGGACUUGUAAGGUAAAAUUUAUAUUUUUAAUUCUAAUUAGUUUAAUUUUAGUUUAUUUUUAAUUCGAAUGAGUCAUUGAUCUUAAUCUAUUAGUUUAAUUGGUCUUGUAAGGUAAAGUUUAUAUUUUUAAUUCCGAUUAGUUUAAAUUCUAGUUUAUUUUUAAUUUGAAUGUGUUAUCGAUCUUAAUUCUUUAGUUUAAUCGAUCUUGUGAGGUAAAGUUUACAUUUUUAAUUCCAAUUAGUCUAAUUCUAGUUAUUCAUGUGUUUCUUGAAAUCUAAAUGUUAGUUUUUGAAUGAUAAUUUUGUUAGUUUGUUUGAUUAGGAAGUCAUAAAUUUGUUGUCUUAGUGAUUGUUGGUCAAUUUUUUUUUAGGACCACUGGAAACCCAUGAAGGUUGGCCUUUACUCUCACCACUUUAAUUGAUAAGAUUUUCUAAAAUCUUUAUUUCGUGAUCUUUGUUUCCUUUUGUUUUGAUUGAUAUUUUGUUUUCUAUUUUUGUUAUUUUAAAAAUUAAUUUCUUUUAUUUUAAAACAAAACUCUUUUUCUCAAAAAAACCCUUUUUAAAAUUUUUUUUUUAUUAUUCAUUUAAAGCCUCUAGAAUCAAAAUCUAUUUUCUUUUUUAAAAAAUAACAUGCAACCAUAUCUUAAUCAGUUUGCAUCCUUCUCAAUUUUCAACAAAAAUAUCCUUCUCAAUUUUCAACAAAAAUUUUGGUUUUAAACAAAACGCGAAUCAAAGCUUGUGGUCCCAAAUAAAUGGAACAAUUUUAGGCUAAAUUCAUGUAUAUUAAUUUGGGGAAUUGGUGAAACCCCUACAUAAGAAAAUCUUUUCAAAAUUUACUUUUGCUACCACCCUACUAUUUAUCAUAAUCAUAUUUACUUUUUUUCUUUUUAGGAAUUGUAUACAAGAUAUGUAUGAUAAUUAAUUAUUCCGAGUUCUGAUAAUUUUUGCUAAUUAAUUAGAUAAGCAUGCUAGGAUUUAUUAUUUAUUAUCUAUUAUCUAUUAUCUAACCCUCAUGUUCUGAGGAAGUGCAUUAGGAGUUAUAUAUGCUAUCCAGGUACGUUCCCAAAAUCUCAUGAAUAUGCAUGUCAUUACCCUUGUUUGAUGCCAUACUUGAUUGCCUCGAUGCUUGUUUGAUCAUCCUUGAUAAAAUGCAUGUCGUGUGUCAUAUUUCUGAAUUAACCAUUGAUGUUUAAUGAUAGUGCUUAAGAAGUGGUUCAGGUACGCACCCUAACUCUCCUUUAUUGUGAUUGAUCUCCUUAUUUAGCAUGCUACUUUCUGAAAAUCACCUAGCUUACUUAAGUAUCCAUAAUUAAUCAAUUAAUUGCCUCAUUUCCCCAAUUUAGUCAGUAAAGACCUCUUUAGGGCUUAGAAGGGUGCUACCUCCUAGAGGUACCUUCCCAAUAAGUAACCUGAUCCCCGGACCUAGACUCGGGUUUUUCAAAGACAUGUUUUUUUCAAAAAUUAUGGAGUCACAUUUUAGGGUUUUUCUUUCUUGUUUUAUUUUCCCUUUAAAAUAAAAAUAAAAUAAGUGGCGGCUCCAACUUUUCCAAAACUAAAUAAUUUUUCACAAAUAAAAAAAGAGUCUCGCCAAUCGAGUGGGGACGCAUGUGAAAAAUGCAGGUCCACAGAGAGGUUUCUUGAGGUGGACAAGGUCAGAAGCAAAGAGCCUUUCCCUACUUUUUGGGGUUGGUUCCUUGAGUUCUUAGGAAGAACUUAGUUAACGUGUGAAUUCAUUCAGGGUAAUUUAUGUAAGAUUUUCUAGAUUUUGCAAGUGAAUGCACCUUAGCUUUUCCUAUUGUAUUUGUGUUUUUUUAGGUUGAUUAUUUUAUUGAUUGUCACCACUCAAGGAAUGGAAGCAAUAGGGUCUCUAGAUGUAGUGCCUAAAGGCAAGCAUACAGGCGUUGUUAGGAGUGUGCUUCCCAUGUCCAACAAGCAUAUUGACACCACCCAAAGCCAAGGCAUCUUUGGACUAGGAGUUCUAGCUUCUACUUAUGUGGACUUUGUAGAUGCAGUCUGGCUCUUCGAAAUAUUUAUUGUUAUGUAGUAGUUAUACACAUGUACUUUGUUUAAGUGAAUUGAUUUUUGGAUUUUUACUUAAAUCAAAUUUAAGGGUAUGUUGUUUAAUUUACUAGAGAUCUCUUGUUUGUAAUUCUCGUUAUCAUAUAUAGAUCUUUGUUAGUAUUUGCCAAUUUCCUCAAUAGCAACUGUAUUAGUUAUCAAUGGAAUGAAUCUUGAGUAACUUGUAGUAUCAUUUUUGGUUUUGAAUUGGCUAAUCUUUUUUGGAAGAAUGAAUUAGAUAUAUGAGCUUGAUUGCAAGCAAUAGUUGAGUUUGUUUUGAUCUUGGGGUAUUUGCCUUAUUGAUAGGACAUAGAUUUUGGGUCCAAAUAGUUGGAAAUUGAUGAGCUUAACCAGGACAUAGAUUUUAUCCCCUUGGGAGAACCACAACACUAACCAGUGUUCCUACAAAAGCUAAUAACCAUGAUUUAGAAAUGUGAUUUCCCUAAAGGGAAGCAUUUCUAAUCUUAUUUGAAGGGAAACUUUGAUGUCUUCCUUAAUACACUAGAAUAUUAAUUUAAAAACAACAAUUAAGGUUAUAUUAACUAUUAUAAUAAUUUAUAAAUUACAUAAAUAUGAUAAUAACUAUUAAAAUAAAAGUAUUAAACAUAAAAAUGUUUAAUUCUGUUGGGUAAAAACUUCAUAAAUAUUUUAUUAUUGAACUUCUAUCAUAUGAUCAAACAUAGUGAUGAUCCUUAGUUGGAUUAAUUAACACUUGUUUCAUAAAUUGAACAACAUAUAACAUGAUCAAUAAACAAACAAGUAAACAUCAUACUAGAUAAAACUAUCUCUUAAGAUUUCAAUUAUUACAUGUUUAAAUUACAAAUCAUAUUUUUGCAACUUUCGUAAAGUUAUGCAAUAGAUAUAAUUAAAAUUAUGAAACAUUGAAAAUGUAUAUUGAUUCAUUAUUCAAAUUCAUCAUAUCAUAUAUAUACUUUAGUUGUCCAUAAGAUCAAAUAAUAACCAAAAUUCGAAAAAUAUGUUUUAUGAUCCAAAAUUGAUUGACACUAAUAUCAAUUGUUACAUAAACUUUAUGUGAAAUAAUUAUUUUGGAAAAUCAAUUUGGAUGCAUAAAGCAUAAUAGUUAUAAGAAAUAAAGAAAUGACAAAAUAAUAAUUAUAUUUUUGUCUUAAUCCAUGAUACCGAUAACACUUUUAAAGUGAGUUCGAGUCACUUUGUGAAUUGUUGGGUCAAGGUAUUCAACUCAUCAUUCUCAUUUAGUAGAUGAGACAAUUGUGUGGUAUAUGUUGUUAUAAGCAAAACAACUAAAAACAUAAGAAUACAAUACAACUUAGGACCUUAACUUUAAAAAAAGAUUUAUAACUCUUAAUCUUCUCAUAAAAGAUUAUAUGAGAGUUAUACUCAUUAUUUUUAAACAUUAUAUAUAAAUUAAUGGACAAUAGUAAACUACCAACUUGAAUACAUUCAUGUAAUUAUAUAAAUUACACUUUUUCAUCUUCCUCUAUUAGUCAUAAACUUUAUAUAUAAAUUAAAUCUCAUAAUGAUGGAGUUACAAAAGUUGUAAUACCAUAUUCGUAUAAAUGAAAAUUUUCUAACUCCAUAUUUAUAAUUUUAAUUUUCUAUGUUAGAAGUUGAAUUUGUUCCACAUCGCCAAGUUACCGGGUUAUUAUGUUGUUUAUAUAUGUGGAUUGGGCACCCUCUCCCUUUAAGCAAGCUUUUAGGGAUGAAUUAUAUUCAAACCCAUUUAACAUGGUAUCAGAGCUUGGUUUGACUGGGGGUCGUGGGUUCAAGCCACCUCUUCGCAAUUCGUAUGUUUGUUCCUCAUUUGCAUGUUUGAAAGUCUAGAAAAGGGUAUUUGCAUUUGUUUGUUUGUCCCUUCACGUGUGGAUAUGGGGCCACACAUAAGAUAUGGUGUUAAAAAGCAUGAAAUGUAUAUUGAACCCAAAUCUUAUAAGUUUAAGCUUUUAGGAAAAUUAGUAAUUCAACAUUCUAUACAUAAAAUUAUUUGAUGUCCAAUCAAUUGAUUCACCUACCUAUCAAUUAAUAUACUUUUAAAUAAAAUAUAUUUCAAUCCAUUACACAAAUAUAAUUAAAACAAAGUACUAUAAUAAUAUGAGUAUGUGACAAAUAAAUAAAAUAAAAAUAAUCACAUGUUACAUGUAAACUAUAUUCAAAGGAAAAACCACAAGUCAUCCCCACUAUUAAACAAUCCAUUGUAUAAUGAUCAAUUACAAAGACCAAGUAUUACCAAACUUAAAAGUAUCUAAAUCAUACUCACUUUGCACAUUUUCUUUAUACUUGGAUCCUUUAAACUCAUUUAUCCCAAUGUGGAAGCAUCUUGAGUUCUAAUCAAGGAAAUCAACCUUUACUUCAUCAAGUUAAAGUCUCUUUAUAUCAUUGACAACCAUAUCAAGAUUUCUUUUGUUGGUUGCUUUCAAAGUCCCACUAGAAUUAGAUUGAAAUUUUUAUAAUCUCUAGAACUUUAACAUAUUAAUUCUUCAAUGAGUCAAUCAAAUAUUAAGUUUUAUCUCCAUAGAUGGACCUCAAUGAAUUUUUCGACAAAGGUGUUAACACUAAUUUCAUAUUAGUAAAAAAAAAUCAUGUGACACAUAUUGAUAUAUAUAUAUAUAUACUAAUUUCAUAUUCAUAGAUUGAAUUCAUGAGAAAAUUAUUCUUAAUUUUGUAAAAAUUAUAUAUAUAAGAAAGUUUUUAGGCUUACUAAAACACAUUACUAACCAAGUGGCAAUAUAUUUAUAAUUUAGGUCUCAUUAUUUUGUAAUCAAGUUUCAUUCAUUUGUAUCAUAUAUGAGUCCUAUUAUGUCAUACCUUACUCUUAUUACAUUGUACUUUGAUCUUAUUUGUUUAAACAUCGAUUUCAUUUCUUUAUAUGUACAUCACAUUUAUUUAUAUCUCAAUCUUAAUUAUUUGUAUCUUUAUUUAACAGUUUAGAUUUCAUUACAUAUUUUUAAAAUUUUAAUUUGAAAUUCGAUAUCUUAGUAUUUUUCUAAAAUAGCUACCUAUAAUCCUUGUAGAGUACUCAAAAUUCACUCCAACCCAUAAAAAAAAAUGACCUCUCUUCGUAAGUUGCUAUACUCAUUGCUAAACUAUAAUUCCAAAAUUAGCAGAACUUUUCAUACUUAUUCUAGGCAAUUAGAGUUGAGAUGUUCCGGGCAUAUACCAUAUUCUUUCAAGAUUUGAAAGAAAUGUUACGAUUUCAGCAUUAAAUAAUGCAUGUCGAUUAACAAUAUUGCUCAGAUUCUUUAGGCAAAGGUCCACAGACAAAAAAAUUAUUUAUUUAUUUUCUGAACCACCCCUGAAAUUGACACCUCCCAUACAGUCUGAUCUGCAUUUCUGUGGCACUAUUUCCCUUAUUCCUAACCAUAAAUCUGCUGCCAUCUCAAUAAUUCACAUCCUUAUCCACUCCUUAUCUAGGGUUGUAACACUUUUUUCAAAAAGAUUUUUUUUUUUUUUUUUCGAAGGGGUGGAUAAGGGUCCUGAGACAAGCUGUGGUAUAAUUAUAAACCCACUUGGGUAAUGGUUUCAUUGUCAGGGUAAUUCUAUUUAAGGUGAAAAUCAGCUGGGUCUAUCAUUCUUGUUUCCAUGUGACUGUUUCCAAGGAGAACUCAACCCUCAAAUCCAUCGAGCAGUCAUAUAAAAAUACACGCAGAUUUCAUAUCUUGAAGCUUGUCCUGUGUUCAGAUCGGAUAACUCACUCAUAUGCCUAAUCACUAAUCGCCAACUUGAGUGUAAAAAAAGCGUGGGGCGAUAUUAUUUGUAUAUGGGUUUGACUGUUUGAGAGAGAAAGGUGGGGUGUCCCUUGGAGGAGUCCAAAGGCCAUUUUUGAACCUGCCUUUGAUUAUCGCCAUGGCAAAUCAACAGCUUGUAGUAUAUAUAUAUUAAUGGAGACCAAGACUCAAAUAGAGAGAGAGACGCGGGGAUGCGAUAAAGAGAACAGUAUAGCCAAGAGUAUAUAAGCAUUUCUCUUGCUGUAAUGGUGAUUCAGAGACUGGAAAUGUGUAUAUCACUGCUGAAAAUGGCAGUAGAGUUUGUGCUUGUUUUCGCGGAGGCAGUCGGGCUAGUCAUCAACCACAAUGCCACGCCGCUUUUGGCAAACUCAGCCUCAGUUGGCAAUGAUGUUUCUGUCCCUUUUAUCGGUUUUCUUCUUUGAAUUCUUCGUCUUGUAGUUUCCUUCCUUACCAGAAUGCUCAUUGGCCAUUGUAUAUGUUGAGGGUUCUUUUUUGCCUUGAUAGAUUUUCUAAAGGAUGUGCAUGUUUGAUAGGAGAGAGUAUAUAUACACAUCUAUGUAAACUUUGAUUAAAUUUUGUUCUGGGUGAGCUUCAUUUUCUGCAAAUUCAUUUGCUGAUAGCUUUGGAAACGAAUCUUCAGUUGUUUGGGUGCUGAUUAUUUGCUUGCUUCACACGAUUUUAUGUGCUGUUCCUUUGGUAAUAAUCUUGUUGGGUGGAUCAAGGAGAAGAGCGAAGAUCUGAGGGAAAAUAGAGUCUGGAGAAAGAAAAGAUGUAAUGAUGAUUAAGAAAGGCUUUAAUAUACUUGCAAGAUCAGGAAAAAAUAUUUCUUGGGUAUCAAUUAUUUUCUUGCUUGAUAUGGGUUUGAUACUCUUUUUCAAUUGGUGAUCAUUCUGGGAAGAUCAAGAAGAAGAAAAUGGGGUCUAGAUGAAGAAAAGCUAUAAUGGCGAUUAUUAAGUGGAAUCAGAUGAAAUAAAAGUCUGUUUCCAUCAUUCUUAAUAUGGUUUCUUUUGUCAAAAAUGGAAGAUGACUUGAUUUUCAUAGUCCCAGCAGGACUUUAGUACUCAUCAAACUCAUAAAUUUUGAACAACUUUGAGCUA
rnacentral:lncRNA from 1 species